CACUUCGAAGCAAAAUAUGAAGGACUUUUACAACUCCCAGACUCCACCAAGUGAAGAACCUAGAUCUACGAGCACAAACACACUGGAGAGACUGGACACUCAGGCAACCACUGCCCUGAGAUGCUUGAGGACGUAACUACUGGAGUAACCCGUGGAAGCAAUUGCUGACCUUCUGCUGGUUAAGAGAGGCGAUCCCGGACGCCCCGUCAUCCCGAUCUCCAUCGGCAUGGUGGACGUUCCAGAAGCACUCUGCGACUUUGGCUCCAGCGUCAACAUUAUGCCCAGGGUACUCUAUGAAAAAUUCUCUACACAUCCUUUAUUAGAAACAGCCAUGUGUUUGCAGCUUGCAGAUCGUACGCUAAGUUUCCCAAAGGGAAUAUUGAAGAACCUCUACGUCCGAGUUGGUACCUUGUACGACCCAGCAGACUUCAUGGUGAUAGAGACUGGUAGUGAUGAGAGGGCACCCAUCAUCCUAGGGAGGCCAUUCCUGAACACCUCGGGAGCUAUCAUCUACGCUAGUGCUACCAAGAUCAGUUUCUACAUCAAGGGAAGGAAGGAGGCGUUUUCCUUCAAGAACAAGACUACACAAAUCCCAGAGCAAUCCCGACAUGAACCAAGGAAGAGGACCAACAGGAGGAACAAGAACAAGCAAAUGUGUACCGAGUCAGCUAAGAUGGUCACUACAGCUCAAGGAGGUCAAGAUCGUCAACUCAAGUCACCUUUCUUGAUCAAGAAGGACGACCCUGGUGUCCCAAGCAUCGAGUGCACAAUCAAUGGAUAUUCUUUUCAGAAGACACUCUACGACACCGGAUCUAAUGUCAACAUAAUGGCCGCAGUCACUUAUCAGCUCCUGUAUGGAACCAUGUCCCUACAACCAACAUACAUUCAGCUCCAGAUGGCAGAUCAGACAUUCUGAAAGAUUGAAGGUUAUUGACAUGGGAGAAGACGAGUACGAUCCACCCAUCAUCCUUGGAAUACCGUUCCUCAGCACUGUUAAAGCAAUCAUCUACAUUGGAACCGGAGAAGUCCACAUGCACUUCCCCUCUGAGAAGGUACGCUGCUAUUUUACUGACUCUAACUAUAUAGUUGAAGACUCUAAGCAGGUCAGGAUAAGAAGACGAUGACGCAACCGCAACCAGAGGAGGCAAAUCAUCAAGGACGGAUGGGUAGACUAUGAAGGAGAAGUUGUAAGGUCUGAAGACAUACAGCUUGAACAGAACUGUCCUAAGGAGACCGUAGCACCGAGUCAGGUGUGUAGAGAGAAGAUAGUUAUACACGAAGAGGAGGCACCGCCGGAACCACCGACUACGCCGUCCAGCGAAUCCUAGGACGAUUGAGAAAACAGAGAGUCCAGUUCGGAGGACUUAAAAACACCGAACGCCUUGCCAAGAGGUAAACUUGGUAGUUAUCUUUUUCCUUUCAAUUAUUUUAAAAUAGUUUGCUUAGUUAAUCAGGUUUAUAUCAUCUUGAAAAGAAAAUAAAAAUGUUAAAAAUAGAAAGCCCCAUGUGAGUAUGCUCAUGGCAUAAAACCCAUAAGUACAUUCACUGUGGUGGCAUAAAAAUGAAAUAAAUAUAUUCCUGUCCUAUAAAAAUAAAAUUAUAAAAAUAAAAUUAUGAUCCUACUAAUGAGUAACAUUUAUUGAGGAGGCUCAACAUGAUAAAGGGUAGAUAUUUAUGCUAACACUUAACUAGUUCCACAAAGCUUUGUUGUCUAUUUGAGCUCCACAGAAUUCAAGGAUCAAAGAAGACUAGCAGACGGAGGACAUCCUAAUCGCUGUCAGGGUGCUGCCGAUAUUCAAAUACACCUCCGCCACCUGCUAGUUACAUCAGAAGAAAUUACGUAAAAAUCUAGCUUGGGGGAGAGCACCCCCAUUUAUCCAGCUAAGUGUUCUACUCACGUUUAUAUUUCACUCAAAUAAUAAAAAGAUGCAUAAUCAUAAAAACCCAAAUAAAAAUUUUGUGCUUAUAUAUAUCUUUGCUUAGUUUGCUAAAUAAAUAAAUAAAUAAAGUUUGCUAUGAACCCUCAUGAUAAGCUCUAAAAUGGAAAUGAUGAAUAGUUGCUCUCCUAUGACUAGUUCUUAAAUUGAAAUCUCUCUCAAGUUUAGGCAUGACUGUUAUUAAUUAAGAUUUGCUCUAAACCUAAACUUGUGGGGAGAGUACUUGAUCUAAAGUCUAAGUCGUUAACGGAUAUGAUAUGGAAAGGUUGAGCUGCUGUUUUUCUGUUCCUAGAGAUGCUAGAAUUCUGGAGAAUUUUAUCUUUAAAAUCUUUAAAAUAUUGCAUGAUGAGUUCCUGUAUGAUGAGAGUUUAAAAUCCUACCACAGCCAUAUAUACAUGCUUAUUAGACUAUGAGCCACACAUUUACUAUUUACUGCUUAUGAGCAUUGAGUGUGGUCAAGCUGUGUAGACCCUUAGGAGCUUGUCAUGUGGUUAAAUCAAGAUUCACUUGCAUGUUCACUCACACAUGCUGCUUCUACUCCGGAAGUACGCAUCCACAUAUAUCCAUCCAUUUCCAUCUCCAGAACCACCCAAAAAUAUUCUACUCCUAAUCCGGGAGAGAAUAGCCAAAAAUAUUUCUGUUUUCCCCUGUGAAAUAAAUGCUCAAGUUAUCUUGGUUACUACCACUUGCUACGUUAGUUCAAGAGAUGAGUGCUCUAAAAAAAAGAAAAAAAAGAGAACAAAAAAGAGUACGAGGAAAUAAAAAGGGGCAAGUGCCCGGAACCUCGAAAGAAAAGAAAAAAAAAGUGAGACGAGAGGUAAAAAUGGACGAGUGUCCGACAGUAGAAUUAGGGGUACAAGAUACCCACCUGAGAGGAAAGAAAAAGAAAAAAAAUAGAGCAUCUCAUUCUCUUCAAAAGUUUCAAAAGAGCAAGAAAGGUAUGUAUCCCCUCAAAAGAGCAUAAGUAGAAUUAGACUUUCACCAUUGUUAUCACCAUCAUUACCAUGCAUCAUUCAUUCGCCACACAUGCACAUCUUGAUUUGACUUAUUGACUUGUUCUUCUGGAUCCAUGGUUUGACUAUGCAAUAAAUGUCUUGUAAGUAUGUAUUAGCUGUCUCCCACCUAUGAGCUCCAGAUAUCAAAAGCCUUAUUAGAGUAAGGUGAGAGAGAAGGCAAUGCCACUAUGCCUUAUACCACAAAUACCACAUACUUUGAGAGAAGGCAUAUACCAAUACUGCCUUGGUAAGGAUCCAGAAAUACCACAAAAGAGAGACUAGAGAGAGUCAUACAAGGAAUCUCUGAGUUUUAUUUGAAAAUCUGCAAAAACUCCAGAGCUAUAGUUAAUCGAAGAACAAGAGACAUGGUGCUUGACUAGACCGUUCUAUCUUUUAACUGCUCAAGACAGAAGUGACGGUUACAAGUCCCAUGGUGAAAGGUAAAUGAGUAAGUUUUAAGUCUUAACAGUUUACUUUAACCAGAGAUGAGAUCUUGUUUAAACGCACGUGUAUCUUUAAGUUAUGAAACCACUGCAGAAACUCUUGAGUUCAUCUUUGCUCAGGGACGAGCAAAGGUUAAGCUUGGGGGAGCUUGAUGACGGUCCUUAAUGCUCACAUUUAACCAUGAACUAAUCAUGGAAAAGGGUCCAAAUGCAACCAACACCUAGACUUAGGGUUUUAUCUGACAGAAUUCCACAAGUUUUGGUGUUUGUGUAUUUCUGCAGGGGGUUAUCAGGAAAUACGGAAGAAAGGCCCACACGUCGGGUUUACAUAGAGAUAUUAACGUGCCGCGCAAUUUUCUAUCAUCUAGAAGACUCCAGAAGCCACGGGAACAAAGCGGAAGACGAGAGGCCUCAGGGACAGGGCGCCCGCCCUAGUCCUGAGGGCGCCCGCCCACCUGUUCUGCCCAAUCAGGGUACAACUCGGGGAUCAUGCUCCACCGACCUAAUACUUCAAGGAAAACCACACGAUCAAUGUCGGUUUGAUCCGACGGUCCAGAUUCACUUGAAGGGACUAUAAAACUAGACCCCCCUGGCCCCUGGAGAUCAUACCUCUUCUAUAGAAUCAAAGUUAGGGUUUCAAUUCUUCAUCCAAGUAGAGAGGAUCCCUCUAGUUCUUCUAGUUCUACCUCUAGUUCAUCUAGAUCUAGUUCUAGUUCAUCUAGUUCUAGUUCUAGUUCCUCUAGUUCUAGUUCUAGUUAGUUCUAGUUGUAAUCCAGAAAAUAGGGAGAGAGAAGAGGAGAGCGGAGGAGGAGCCGGAUCUGUCGGAUCUUCCUCAACAUUGUACUUUUGCAGCAUCUGGUUCGUUCUUCAUCGUUCUCCAGGUUCUUCAACUCAUAACUCCUGAGUUCUCUAAUUACUUUUAUUUACAUUCAAGUUAUUUAUUGGAUUCCCGCUUGCAUCAAGUGCUCUAGUCUUUGAAACAUUAGAGUAGUAAUUAAUAGAUUAGACGUGGUGUUUAGUCUUGCGAUUACCUGGAAUUGCACCCAAUCCUGCGGAUUGUUGUGGUAGCCUUAGGGUAGUGACAGCCCUAACGGUCGACGUAUUCCACCACGUUCGGAUCGGUGUUUGUAGGACCGUAGUCAAACCUUCCUAGCCCCCUUCUCAUCUCUUUCUGUGGUUAGUGCUCUGAUGUCCCGAUAUAGAUAAUCUUGAAGUAAUUCUUGAUUCUUAGAUCAACUAGAGAACUCUCAGGAAACUUCCUCUCUUCCCACCAAAAAAUAAUCAUAUAGUUAUCCUUGGGCGAUCUUGGAUCUUAAUUAGUACACUCACGUUCUCUGUGGAAAAUCGAUACUCUGGAAUACUCCCGGGUGAAAGCUACAUCGGUAUCCGUGCGCUUGCGGAUUUUUCUAUUUGCGUUUAAAAUACCCAACACCGACCAGUGGUGGCCUGCGCGACGUCCGGACGAUUGCGCGGCCUCCGGACCAAAGAAGGCGCGGCCUCCUCGUCGUCGUCGUCGUCGUCGUCGGUGAUUCGGACGAGCCGACGGCGCUUCGGCGCCUGGCUGCUCUCUGCUGGCAGCGCUUCUAUAGGGGAGGGGUCUGCUGCCAGCGGCCUUUUCCCCGCCACUCUCUUUCGGUGGUCGGGGCGGGAUCGUUCUGCUCCUCUUCGCUGCUAGAGUAUCGAGCACACCGAGCAGCGUCAUCCUCUGGCGGGUCUACUCCCGCGGGAUUCUCCAUGCCAGGUGCCAGCGAUAUGUACACCGCGCACCGGUCAACGUCUCCAAUCUGCAACACAAUCAAAGACAAGUCAACAACUGGAAGAACAAGUACUAAGGAGGUAACAUCAGUCAGUAACAUUACCUUAGGAGCUGGUCGCCCCAGCUUGAAGGCCUGCACCCGAUCACCGCUUCGAACGAAGCUGUUGUCUGCAAAGUUUAACAGCUCGGUCAACAGCUGUUGCACUUCUGCCUUCUCUAGAACUAGGGGACUCAUCCUGGUCCGGUCCUGGCUCCCCGCGUACUCGUACGCCGAGUGUACCCUCUUCUGGCAGGGCAUCACCCGACGACAGAUGAAGUUGCCGACCACUCCUGGCCCGUCUAAACGCGACCAGUUGAUCAGCUUCAUCAGGUCUUUUACCUGACCAGCGAACUGUGGGCGGUCUGUACAACUGACCCUCUUCUCGGGAAUGUAGCCCACCUCGCAGAACGUGGAGCUGCCCGACUCUUCCCUAACGUAGAACCACUUCUUGUACCAUUCGGUGAGAGAAGUAUUCCACGCGCAGUUGAGAUACCCGUUCUUCAUUCUGUCACGCAGAUUGAGGUAUACUCCACCUGCAAUCUUGGAGCCUCCAACUGCUCCUUUCUUCCUCAAAUAGAAAAGGUAGCGGAAAAGAUCGAAGUGCGGCUCUAUCCCAACAUAGGCCUCGCACAGAUGGAUGAAAGUAGAAAUAAGAAGAAUGGAGUUCGGGUGUAGAUUGCAGAUCCCGAUCUCAUAGUAAAGAAGAAGCCCCUGGAGAAAAGGAUGGACAUGAAUCUCAAAGCCCCUCUUGAAAAAAUCUUCAAAAACCACGAUCUCACCGGCAUGGGGGUCAGGGUAGCUCUCCCCCUCUGGCGCCCUCCAGCCGCCGAGCUCUUGGCUGUGCAGCAGCCCCAUACUGACGAGGUCGUUGAGGGACCUCCUGCUGCUCCGGGACUUCUUCCACUCCUUAGCCAUCAGCUCGGCCCUCUUCUUGGAGUCACUCUUCGCCAUUGAUGCUGCGGGAACGACUGCGAGUUGGGAGGACUGACGGUGAUUGCAGAAGGCAAGAAUGGCAAGAAUGGGAAGAAGGCAAUGGCAGGGUAAAAGAAUACGGGGGCAAUGUCAAGCUUUUAUAAGCAACAACUCCACCCCUCCCACUUCCCGCAUUCUUGGGAAGUGGGCGGGUCCAGCGGCGGACGCGGCGUUUCGGUUUUCAACAAUUACCGGCAGUUAAUACGGCCGCCAUUUUGUAUAAUUGAUGGUUUCCUUUUCUUGAACCGUGCAAAGAGCGGCUGCACAGUUACCAGGCGCACCUUUUCACGCAGCCAUCUGACAAUGCGUCAGGACGUCUCGUCACGUCACACAUUAAUGUGUCAAGAUGCCCUUUUUUCAAAAUAACAGACAAAAAUUGGUGGAGGACGGAUGUUCGUGGAGACUGCACCGACCACCGAGCACUAUACGCUCGGGGACUGGUCGACCAGUCUGCCAGUUUGGAGACCUGGAGACUGCACCGACCACCGAGCACUAUACGCUCGGGGACUGGUCGACCAGUCUGCCAGUUUUGAGAACUGGGGACUGUAAUGAUCGCCAAGCGUUAUAUGCUCGGGGACUGGUCAAUUAGUCUAUACGAUGGCAAACGAGCAUGAUAUGCUCGGGGACUGGAUAGUUCUAAUUUUUUAGACCUUGCUACAAGGCUCAUACUUCGCCUUCCAGGAAGCUCGGGGACUACAUCAGUACGAUGCAUCUGGCGAUGCAUCUCAGUUUUAGAAUUUCUUUAAGGACUUUUCUUUUGACCCUGGCACCACAUGCCUACGUCACCUACUACCAGGCUCGGGGACUAAGUGGGCACACUUCACCUUGCGGUGAAUAUGCUUGCUUUUUGGAAGACUGUACUUUUUAUAAAAGUAAAGUGGGCACACUUCAUCGAGAAAAGAAAUAUUUUUUCUCAAGAGCACCAUGCAUUCUUCGAACAACUUGCUUCUUCGACGUCAAUGUUGGUCAACUAUUUUUUGAGUUGGUCAAAAUAUUGUUGCAACUGUUUGGAUGACUUUCAUGCUAAUCGAAGAUGUCAAGCCUUACUGAUCGAAGAAGCUCAAGGCGGCGUGUUACAUCACAAUACACGGUGCUUGGGGACUAGCUGUGGGGGUAUAAACCCCUAUACCCUUACGGCUAGACUUGGGCCAGGAGGCUUGGUCCAUUACGAGAUGAGUUUGAGGCUUGAUUUGACUGCUCAGAGUUUUGCGCAAGGAAACAAGACGUGGAGAUCAAGCAGGAUUCUAGUCGGUUAGAAUAGGAAUUGAUAUCGAACUAUCUAUGGCAGUUGUAACCGACUAGGAUUAAUUUCCAGAUCUGUAACCCUGCCCUCCGGACUAUAUAAGGAGGGGCAAAGGACCCCCUUAGGACACAUUAUUCUCUCGACACAAAUCAAUACAACAAGAUGCAGAACGUAGGUAUUACGCCCACACAGCGGCCGAACCUGGAUAAAAAGCUUGUCCGUGUCUUGCAUCUCCAUCGAGUUCGUAGCUUGCGCACCGUCUACCGAUAAACUACUACCAUGGGUAUACCCCAGGGUAGACUGCCGACUAGCUUUCGUUGACAAUUUGUUACCCCUGAUACUUAGGUAGGCGACCGGUCCAAAGAGAUCCAUGUGGAUGAGCUCCAAUGGUUGUGUGGUGGUCAUGAUGCUCUUUGGUGGGUGAGGUACGCCAACUUGCUUUCCGGCUUGACGAGCUCUACAUAUCCUAUCUUUCUCAAAGUGAACAUUUGUUAGUCCAAGAAUGUGUUCAUCCUUUUGAAGUUUGGCCAAGUUCCUCAUCCCAACAUGGGCUAGUCGGCGAUGCCAAGGCCAACCUAUGCUAGAUUUUGCCACUAAACAGGUCUCAAGAUUGGCUUUACUUUUGUUGAAAUCAACUAGGUAAAGCUUAUUCUUUAAACGACCCGUAAAGACAAUAGAGGAAUCCUCCCUUCUAAAGACUUCCACACCCUUAUCCGUAAAGAGACAAUUGUAACCUAUCUCACACAACUGAGAAACGGAUAACAAAUUGUAGCUCAACGAAUCAACAUGCAAAACAUUUGUAAUUGAAUGCUCAAGGGUUAUAGCAACUUUACUGAGACCAAGCACAUCCCCCUUAGAAUUGUCUCCAAAGAUAAUAUUCUCAUUUGAGUCCACCUUUGGGGUAUAUGAUUGGAACAUACUCCUUUCUCCAGUCAUAUGAUUUGUACAUCCACUAUCAAGCACCCGACUUGAUCCACCGGAGGAGUAUGCCUGCAAAACAAGUUUAGUUGCUAGAUUUAGGUCCCCAAAUAGACUUGGGGCCUUGCAUGUUAGUCACAAGUAUCUUAGGAACCCAAAUGGAAGUAUUCUUGUAGACAUUGAUCUCCUUGCCAACAUACUUAGCAACAACUUCACCAUGGUUGUUACUUUUCAACACAAAGCAUGAUGACAAGCUUUGUCGAGGUGCAUGGACCUUUGGUUGAUAAGCAUACUUGUUUGGAGUUCCCCAUAUUAAUUCCUUUGGCUUCUAGGAAAUCUUCUUUUCCUUGUAUGUCACUUUCUUUUAGGGCUUAGUUUGAUUAGGAACAAAAUUGGUAGCCUUCCCAUUUUUGCGGGGUGUGACAUUACCGCCCUUCAUCAUGGUAUUGCCACUAUGUGGCACUACCGCUCGGGGACGUUGUAGUGUCACAAUCUGUGCAGGCCGCUCUACACCAAUUUUGCCCUUCCUUUCAAAUUGGACACACUCAUAGCCAUUGAUUAUCUUUCUUCCAUUUGUCUUGGCUCCUAUUGUGUGUUCAAGCCCAUGCUUGAUUGAGGGAUGUCUCCCUUGCUUGAAUUGAGGCCCUUUUGGAUCAUUUUCCCUUUUAUCACUCACUUGCUCCUUACCACCCAAGCAAUUCUUACUAAUGAUCUCAUUGAGCCUUUCAAUCUCCUUUCGCAUAGUCUCUAAGUUUACAAGGUUAGUAGAAUGAGCAUUCAAAUCAAGAUUUUAACAUUUUCCACAACCUUGACUAGUGGAGGGAGUAGAGGCAUCCUUUGCCUUAGAGGGAUGUGAGUUGCUAUCCCAAAGAAUGCUAUAUUGUGCCUCAAGUUGCUUGUACAUUCCAUCUAAGUCACAAUACUUUUGCUUGAGGGCAAUAUUUGCUUUCUUUGUGAUAGCAUGGGCCCCUUGCUCUUUGGCCAAAGCCUCGCGCAAGGAUUCCACCUCACUUCUCUCUAAUGCAAGAGCUUCCUUGCUAGCAAUGUAGAGGUUCUCUUGUUUGAUAAGAGUCUCUUCACUAGAUUCUAACUCAGCUUGAACACUCUCUAAAUCCUCCAUUAGCUUAGUGAUGAACAAUUUGGUCUUGCUAUCCAAAUUUUUAGUUAUGUUAUCAAUUUCUUCAUCACUAGACACAUCAUCACUAGAGUAAUCACUUAUAUCACUACUAGAUGUGUCACUAGGGGGAGAAGGUUUGGGUUUGGAUUUUACCUUCUCACCCUUUGCCAUAAGACAAAUGUGAGGGGAGUAGUAGUCAUCAUCAAACAUGUUGUUGAAGAGCCUUGGUGUGGAGGAUGGCUUGUGAAUAGCCAUAGUUGCAAUCUUCUCAUCCUCCUCACUUGAGCUAUCUUUUGUUGAGUCCCAUUCAUGUCUAAUGUGAGCUUCUCCCUUGUGUCUUUUGCUCUUUUUGUAGUCGAUCUUGCUCUCUUUCUUGUCUCUUUUGUAAUUGUUGUCUUCCAUUUCAUGAGGACAAUGAGCAAUGAGAUGUUCGGUGCUUCCACAGUUGUAGCAUAGACUCUUCUUCUUGUUUGGGAACUUCCUCUUCACUACCUUGUAGCCUUGCUUUUGAGUCCCUUUUGAUAUCUUCUCAAAAAGAGAGCAAUAUCUUGCACUUUCUCAUAUUGUUCACUAUCACUUUUAUCUUCACUUGAUGAUGAUGUUGUCUCUACUUCUUUGACUUGCUUUGGUGCUUUGGUCUUGCUAGUUGAUGCUUGCUUGUUGGACUUGGACUUGCUUGUAGAGGAUCGUUUGGUUGACUUGUUGGCUUUGAGAGCUACAUCAUCAUUGAUCUUGAUGCCUUCUAGCUUUGCUUGCAGCUCACCAAGCUUCUUUCUUUCAUUGGCUUCUUCUCUUUGCAUAUCAAAUGUCAAAAUCCUUCCAAGUACAUCAUUUGGUGUGAAGUACUCAAACUUCUUCUUGUCUCUAAUUAGAGUGACUACGGUCUCAUUUCUUGGUGAAUAAGCUUCCAACAUAAUCUUGACAACUUUAUGAUCAUCUAACUCAUCACGACCAUAGCCUCUAAUCUUGCCCACCAAGGACAUCAACCUAUCAAACAUCUCUUGUGGCCCUUCUCCGUCCACGAUAACAAACCGGUUGAGCUUGGCCAUCAUCAAAUCAAUUCUUGCCUUUCUUACUUUGUCAACUCCUUCAUGUGUAAGGUGCAAAGUAUCCCAUAUUUGCUUGGCAAUGUCAACACCAAUCACUCUAUUGUACUCAUCACCAUCCAAAGCACUAAGCAACACACUUGUGGCUUGACCAUUGAGGUGAAUGAUUCUCAUCUCUUCUAAUGUUGGGUUCUUGGGAUCAACUGGUGACUCAAACCCAUUGCAAACAACCUCCCAAAUGCCGGGGUGGAGACCUAUAAGAUAAGCUCUCAUCAAGUGCUUCCACUUGGCAAAGUUAGUCCCAUCAAAAUGAGGUAACUUCCCUGCGGGUACAUUAAUAAAAGACUUCCGAUCAUGGUUAGUCAUAGACAUAGAAGAAUAGUUAAAGGAUAUGGUGGCAUAUUUGUCAUUGUCGUUCUUCUUGCCCUUUCCUUUCUUGUCCUUCUUGCUAUGCACUUGAUAGGACUCAUCAUCAUCACCAUCUUCGGAGCUGCUAGAAAGCUCACUAGAAGAUGUAUUGGGAGCUUUGGCUUCUUCUUUCUUCUUCCUAGCUUCCCUUCUCUUUCUUCUUUCUUCUCUUUCUUGCCUUCUUCUCAUCUAAUCGUUGCCACUCUUUCUUCUUUUCUCUUGCUUCUCUUUUGAGCUUUCUUGCUUCUUUCCUCUUUCUCUUCUCUUCUUCAUUGAGAGCACUUUCACCAUCGGUAGGCUCGAGAUGAGGAAGUGUGGUAUUGCUUGUUGUCGACACACUGAGUUGGCUGCUAUCAGUGUCACUGUCAUGCAAGCCCAUUUCCUCUGGACGAACUUCCGUAGACUUUGCACCGCUCGAUCUUCCUCCAGGCUCCAUACCUCACGCGGUGAAGCGCACACGAGGUAACCGGCUCUGAUACCACAUGUAAGGAUCCUCGGUAGCCUAGAGGGGGGGUGAAUAGGCUUAUCUAAAAACCUGAAAAUCAAAAACUCAAGUUGCAGAAGUUAAAUGCCUCUCGGUACCACCGACAGUUUGGGCCGGUACUACUGGUGUAAGACAGCCGGUACUACCGACGCAAACUGUUGGUACUACCGGCCUCCUAAGAGAGCUACAAAAUCAGAGUAUAAUGAGUUUUGAUUUUAGAUCUGGGAGUUACCCCACUCUCCUACAUGUAGUUGAGGAUGAUGUUGAAGUUCUCUUGACUCGGUUCUUCUCCAAAACGUAGAUCGGCCCUUGUUCACCUAUGAAAAGGGGUAUAGAGGAAGAACACGAAGAACACAAGAACAAGGAUAGUCGAUGCUACCUCCACAACAAGACAAGAUAUUUAUCCGAGGUUCGGCAAUCCCCACUAAGGAGUUCCUACGUCCUCGUUGUUGAGGUGACCACGAAGGUCCGACCACUUAGGCCUCCUCCCUCAAGCAACCACGAAGGUUAGCUAGAGAUUUCCAUUAAGAAUCAAAGGGUAAUACAAACACUUCGGGGUGCCCUCACAAAUGAAACAACAUGGGCAACCACGAAGAACGCCUAGCCGGCUAGGGUUCCAAGAACCCAAGAGUAACAAAUGCAAACCAACCGGCAAGACGAAGAAACCAAGUGCUCAAGUCACGAAUUGAAGCUCCCAACUCUCUAAUCUCACUUCUCUAGCUCGAAUCUCUCAAGGAUUGAAGCCUAGGAGCAAAGAGGGAGAGAGAGUGGGUGAGUCAAAGCUUGGAGACUGUUUUCUUAGAUGUGGAUUCGAAGGAAUGGAAGAGCCAACGGUCAGAAAUGAGGGAAGAGCUAUUUAUACAUAGGUCCUGAACAACUGCCGGUACUACCGGGGCAACCACCGGUACCACCGGCUACCUCAGAUCUAACGGUAAGAAGUCUCUAUGAUUUGCGAGAAAUAAGCCUACCGGUACCACCGGGCUUUUGUCGGUACUACCGACCAUUGCCGGUACCACCGGUGGAAGGCCGGUACCACCGGCAGUUCAAAUCUCCACAACCAAAGUCAGCGUAGAUUUAGCCUGCCGGUACUACCGGCGUUUCACACCGAUACUACUGGUGCUAGCCGGUACCACCAGCCCGAGCCCGGUACUACCGGUAGUUUAUUUUCUCGCAAAACUCAGGAGAAAGGCUGGCACUGCCGGUACCACCGGCCCUAAGGGUUGGUACUACUGGGUCACCCUGGCCGAGAUGAAAUUUCCUGAGUGCCUGUGAGUGCAGUGUGUCUCUCAUGCGCAUUAAGUAAAUUGACUUGAGCACCCCUAUCCUCAUCUUACCAACUUAAUUUGCAUCCCUCUUGAUAGUGUGGCGUUUCCUAAAACUCAACAAAAGAUAAAAACUUUGUAGCCACUUGAGUCGAAACGCCAUUCAUCUAUUGAAAACUUGGAGUGCUAUAAUUCACCGAAUGUUUUUGUUCAACUCCAUCAAUGGACCAACACAUUUGAUAAAUUGGGCUUUUUCCAUCUCACAUCUCAUGUGUUAUCCUCAUUCUUAUUUUACCUGCUUGUCAUCUCAACAAAUCUCAUUAGUCCUCUAAUUGUGUGGUCAUUAACACCAAAACCCACUAGGGCUUGAUUGCACUUACAGACUGACUUUGUUUUCGAGCGCUUACAGGCUCCUCCGAUCCUCGGCCGCCGACGGGUGCCGAGAGUGCCCCGCCUCGUCCAUUGGUGGGGGAGUCCACCCCGCCGUCACCGAAGUGGGUCGAGACGUCUCGCUCUCAAUAGCAGGAAGGAGCCCUCGAGCCUCCCCGAUGUGGGAUCGAGGGGGAUCCUAUCACUAUAAGUGACGGGUCCGGCGGUGACAGGCUUUCAAAGGAUGCCCGCUCCAUGGACGAGGAGGUCAAGGUUUCCCCUGUCGCGAAGCGGACGCCUUGGCCCAUCAGGCUUGACUCCGUCGAGGAGAAGAAGAAUAAGGAAGUGGAAGAGCGUGGGAGGGAGUCGCAGCAACAGCUGCAGGAGGGGCAGCAACAACUGCGGCCGGAUGGAGAAGAAAGAGAGAAGGGGCGGCGGCAACAAGGAGAAUGGCUCGAAGAGCUGCUGGAGCAGGACCGGUAGCAGGAGCUGCUGGAACUCCAGAGGCAGCAGCAACAACAGAGUCAGUAGUUAGAAGAACUGCUCGAGCCGCCGCCGCGAAACCCACCCCAGCCGGUGCCACCGUCGCCACAGAGGCCUGAGACUGGGGAGGAGGGUCCGCCGGUCUAUGGUCCGCCGACCCCUACGUGGCUCCGUCCGAGAGCGCCCGCUUCUAUCCCAGCUGAGCCAGGGCAGGCGGAUGGUGUGGUGGCGCUUGCUUGCCUCAUGCGCACCCCGGUGGACCGUCAGUCAGAAAUCAAGGGCACGAUCUAUGGCAUCGAGGGGAUCGCUCCUAGAUUUCUUCGAGAGCAUCGACCGUGGGUGGAUCAUAAUCCCGCUGAGGAGGAUGAAGUCAGGACGUCGGGUGGUGGCGCUAGCGACGAGACCGGGACCUGGAGGAUAGUGGAUGAUGACGGGCGAUUCCCCUCCCUUAUCGACCUGUUUUUACGUCACGGGGGGUCGCUCGAGACUGUCCAAGAGCUCAUCCGGGGUGUCAAGGCGCGCACGGAGGAGGAGAUGGAAAACUGGGGCCCUGAUCGGAUCCGCAUUCGGGCCUCCACCGACCCAUCCGAGCCUAAUAUCUUUAUGGAUGAUCGGAAGGAGGCCGAAAAGUGGGAACAUCUCGAGGAGCUUCGCCUCUAGAUGAAGCACGUGGUGGGGCUCCUAUCUGACAUCGUCAACAGCGGGCUUGGUCUGGCUUAUUUCGUAAGUGUCUUUGGACCUUAGUUACCAUAGGACGUUUGAUUUUGUAUUGUUACUGUUCAACUGCUGGCUCGCAGGAUCUGAAAGAGACCUCCCGCAUAAAGUCGAGUUUUAUCCACGCGAUGAGGGGCGGCUGGGAGCAACUCCCUCUUCUCAAGGACCAACUCCUGGAGUCGCAGGAGAAGCUCCUCAAGGCCUACAAAGAGCUUUUGGCGCUCGAGGAGGAAAAAAGGAGAGGGAGGCCGCUCUGGCCGAAGCUCGGGAGGCCUCGAGGAAGGCGGUGGAAGAGGCCACGCGGCUGAGGGAGCGGACUAUGACGGUCGAGGAGGCUGCAUCCAAGGCCCAGGAAGAGGCCGUAUUCUAUAAGGAUGCAGCCGCCGAUCUUGACAAGGAAAAGGUCCUUAUCAAGGCUGACCUCGCCUCUGCCCGAGAGGCCUUUCAAGAGAUGAAGGUGGAGUGCGUGAAGGGCGAGAUCGCUCGGAGCGCCGCAGAGGAGGCCAAGAAGAAGGCCCUCGAGGAUCUCGAGGCGGGACGGACUCAAUCUCGCAGCCUCUCUGAUGAUGUUGAUCGUCUAAAGAGAGCGCUGCUGGAGAAGGAGGGAGCUAUCGCGCUGGCCAGCAAGGCGAUCGAGGGCUUGCGGUCGCCAACACCGACCUGGCCCGCUCUCACAGGGAGAUCGAGAGGACCAACACUGAUUUGGUUGGUCAGAACACUGCUCUGGAGGAGAAGAUUCAUGGUAGGCUUCUUUAUAGUUCUUUUUGCAAGGUACUUUUCGGUGUCGUCUAAUUUCCAUGCGUCGGUCUUCGCAGGGCUUAAGGGCGAGCUUCUGGCUGCUCAGGUCGAGGCCUGCUCCGCCAAGGAUCGGCUCGAGGGGGAGGUCGCACUGAAUGUUCGAUUAAGGACCGCGAUAAAUGACCUCUCGGCCUCUUGGGAGCUCGAACCUGCGGAUGAGUCGAAGGAGGAGGCUCGAGGCGACACGCUGGUCGAUUAGCUGUGCUACAUAGGCGCGAUGCUGAGGGAUCGAGUGCGGGACGAUCUUCAUACCGGGGUGUGUUGAUAUUUGGUAACGCAAUAAGGAAACGAUCCGCAAGCGCACGGAUAUCGGUGAGCAUUUCACCCGGGAGGUUAUCCAGAGUUAUCAUAUUUAUAUUUUUACCACUGGGAGAAAGGGUGCAUCUGACUAACCAAAUCUAUUGCUACUAUCCCUUUAGGCACAAAGAAUGUCUUUCGAUGUGACUGAUAAAUAGAGAAGACUGCAACCGUAGUCUCCUUCUAACCUUGGUAAGGAUGAUCUACUGUUCUAAUGGUGUUGAUGCAAAACAGAUCUGCAAACACAAAGGGCUAAUACCCGAUUCAAACGUUAAGGCGUGCCAGCCGAUUUAACCUUACUAUCGGCAAAGGUGAUAACUCGAAUACUUUAGUCCUGACAACAGCGAUGCGCCCGGAUGUCACGGCUAAGAGGUACUCACGCGGAACUUAAGGAUACGCCGAGCUUGAGUCGACGAAUUCCUAAGAACUCGUAACAAAAAGAAAAACGUAUGACGAAGUCGUCGAAAAGUAAAUACUAGAAUAUGAGUAAGAGCGUGUGUUUGAUUGAUUGAUAGAUGUCCUGAUUACAAGGUCUUAGGGCUUAUAUUUAUACCCUGCUCAAAGAGCUACGACCAGACACGAUUAGAAUUCGAAUUCCAAAUUACACGGAACCCGUAUACAAAACGAUACGAAUAACAUAAGGAAAUAAUAAAACCAUCCUUCGUGACAAACCGAAACUCCUCCACAUGACAACUGGUAGCUUCCGGACUCCUCCUUCGCGUCAUCGGCAAUCCCCUUGCCAUAGUCAUCGGCAGACCCUUUUACUUGGCCAUCGGCACUAUAUUACUGUCUGGGGACUUAGUCACAUUCAACCUUUCCCUCAUCGGCAACCAUCCUUACCAGCAACCCGCAUCGUACUGCCACCCUGUCCUGCCAUCCUGGACACGUGCCCAAAAAUGGUGUCAACACAUGCCCCCCAGUUUCGGAGUAUAAAACUAUUAAUGCUCCGAAAUUCUCUGCAGUAAUGAUGUCUUCUCCGCAAUUAAUGCUCCUAACCUGGUAACCGACAACCUCAAUCUGGGCAACUCUGAUCCUAAUCCUCCGCAGAUCCCUCGAAAUCCACAACUUCCCAAACGGGCAUCUCCCUUAGUCGUACAUCGGCAACAAUACCGUUACAAAGAUCUGCCAAUGCUCUGCCCAGGAUAUUCGCAAAAACGGUUACUUCCCCUCUAUCCGCCCAUCGGCAGGACGACCGUUAUAGAAUAUCACCGAUGGACCGACCAGGAGAUCGUGCACAGUAAAAUAUCUUUAGAUAAUGACCGCUUCCUGUCAAAUCACCUGCACAAUCCCUGGAUUAUCGUGCGAACAGUUACCAUAUCCACUUGAGUACCCUCGGGUUUCUCGGAUGCGGCAAAGAAAUAAGUCAGAUUUGCCCUUGUCCAUCUUGCCCUAUAAAUAGUUCCUUCUUGGGUACUCCUCCCCCAUUACAUCAUUCUGCCAUCCAACUUCACUUUUCCAGCGGCGGCGCCAUUCUCAAUCCUCAAGAUCUCCGACAAGCAUUCUUCUUCAUCAACUUCGGCGUCUUCCAGCGUCCCCUUCACGACAAGAUGGCCGUCGGCUUCGUCGUCCCUGAGGUCAGACUUCCAUCUCAUCUGCCGUACCUUUUUCCUGCAUUCCUGUUCAUCUGCGAUUUACCUUACCGAAUAUUUCCUUCUCCUUUUUCUUUGUAUCUUUAUUCCCCAAAACACCAGGAGUUAUCCAACAAAAUUGUCAUUCCUACCGAUCAACCACAUCUUCAAUGCCUCGGCCCUCUAGGGGAUCCAGAUCCAACUGACCUUAUCAACGCAGAAACCAACAGGAUUCCCUUUAGAGCUGAAAACUUUGCUCUAGAUCUAUGGAAGGACACCUUUCGCUCUUGGCCUAGCCCUACUGUAGGGUGGAAAGACUGGUUCUUGAGGGUCAGCAACUCUUAUGAAGUUCAAUGGGGUGAGAGGAAAUUAGCUCAAUGCAUUAGGCUGUCCAUUGCCGAUAUGCACAGGAACGAGUCAUUGCUGAUAGCCGCAUCUUACUUUUGGUCAGACACUCUCAACGCUUUUGUUUUUGGCCACGGCCCUGCUUCUCCUACCCUUGCCGAUGUAGCCAUGCUUACUGGGUUAGACAUAUCCUCUGCCGAUAGCACCCAUUUUUUUGAUACCGCCCCCAGUGCCAAAGUGGAGACUCGCGCUAUCGGCGGCUGGUCAGGGUACAUCCAGAAGUACCGCGGGAGAGGGCCUGUCACCAUAAAGGAACAAACCACUUUCCUGAACAUGUGGCUAGACAAGUUUGUAUUCUGUGGUCGAUCGGCAGGACCGACUUCUGUCUAUCUAUCGGCAGCAGAAAGACUGGCUAGCGGUGGUCAAUUUCCUCUCGGCCGUUAUUUGCUCGGCGCUGUUUAUCACCUUCUUCAUCAGAUAGUCCAGAAACUCCUGCUCGGCCAACCUAUCGGCAACUUGGGAGGUCCUUGGUGGUUUAUUAAUAUGUGGCUCAAUCUGCACCUGCACAAGCGCCUCGAUCUCAACUUGUUCUCUCAGCACUUCCCAAGAGAUAUAGCCGAGAACCAUGUGUUGGGUGAAGAGGAAUCGGCAACACGUGCCCCCCUGAACUUUGGCGAAGCUGUUAUAGUUUUACCCGGUUCAGGGAACACUCCGGAUCAGAUCGGCCGAUUCUUCGAAACGCUGUAUGAGGGUCUGGCCAGAGAUGAACGACCAUGGCUGGCUUAUGACGACCCAGAUAGCAUGCUCCCUCUGACCUUCAAUCCGUUCGACGAAGCUCUUGAUAGGGACAAUGAGGUGAUGAUGGCAAUCGUGACUCCCAGAGCCAUACCAGUGAACUUCUUCGGCAGCACGAAAACUUCUCCCCAAACUUAUGAAUUUUAUAAUCCAUCGGCAUUAGCUCGCCAGCUAGCUUUCGGCCAAUUGCCGAUCGCACUUCCUUAUGCCGAUGUAAUAAAGCCCAGAGAACCCAUCGCUAACCUCCUCGAGUGGACUCGAGUAGCCCAGCUACCACCAAAUGCCGAUACAGAUGUAGAUCUGUCAGAAUGGGUUCCAGCUGCCUUUAUCACUCAAGCAUACAAGCUAUGGUGGGCAGAAUGGAAGGAGAAUCUAUUCUGCAGAUCGGCCCUCUCAUACCGCGGCAUGAUCGACCCCGAAUACGAAGUCCCUGACGACACUGUAAGUAUUUUAAACCGAUGUCUCAUUUUCCAAUACUAUUCCCAUCGGUAACUUACCCCUGUAUUCUUUUUGCAGAUUGACAACACCCCCCCAUCGGUUAGCAGGAGUGGCAAGCCGAUCGACUUAUUCCCAUCAGGCCCGAUCUCCUCAAUCGGCCACAAUGCUCCCACUCUGGCUUCCAUCGUGCACCGGGGUGCGCGUCUCAAGAAAGUUACCACCAGGAAAACUCAGACAUCACCAACGGUAACUGCUUCCACUCUGGCGCAAGCUUUCAAGGCAAUCUGUUAAAACCCUUUUUAUUUAUGCUGACUAUCUUUAUAUCGGUUAUCUGUGCUCAUAAACUCUUUAUCGUUGUUGCAGCAAACUGGUGCAUCGGCAAAAGCCAAACGCCAAGGUGCCGAUCCCCCCCAGUCUAGCCAGCCAAAGAGGAAAGGCGCCCAAGGUGCUAAGACCGGAACAAAGCGUCAGAAAGUGGCAACUCCUCCUCCUCCUCCGGUGUCUCCAAUCCCGGUGGAAUCUUCCCCUUCUCCUCCAGAAGUCCAGGCACAGCAAGCACCAUCUCCUCAAUCAAUACAGGAAGCACCACAGAUGGAAGAACCUCAGCAAGAAGAACCUCAAACGGCAGGUACGUCAGCUGACGUAGGUGAACAAACAACUGGCCCGGCAGGUCCAGUUAUAUUAUCGGCGGUUUCCUCAAUUCAAACAACUGUUGUUCCUCUUCCGGGUAACAUGUCCCAACAAUACUCCUACCGAUAAACUUAUUUUCAUUUAUUCUUAUAAUCCCUCCUGUCCUCUUUCAGGCGAUAUCGUUCCAUCGGCAACAUUUGCCGAUCAACCUGCAGCUCCAUCAGCCUCUCUGAGUCAACGGCAGGAAAUCGCCUUGAAGCAAGUAAGUCAUCCACUUUUCCAUCGGUAUCAUCUGCCGGAGUUUUGACCAUAAAAUUGACCUAUUUCAUUUUCAUUUUUAGGAACAAGAUUCUCCCGACAGCUUGUUCUCCUUCGCUAUUGAUAUCUUCGAAGAAGAAGGCGAGGAAGCAAGCUCCUCUCGGGCAGUUGGAACUGUAUCGGCAGAAACCAGAGCUAGGCUGGAGGAGCUAUCGGCCAUACUUCAUCAAGACACAACUCAACUGGUCGACGAUUCUGACCCAGCCAAGGCCCUGUUCAAGACUCUUAGAGGCCAAAUUCCUGCCGAUGCCGAAGAAGCACUCUUCCACGCUGCACAUCUAGAAAGCCGCCAGCUACAGUAUCAGAGAGCUACUCGACGCCUUGCCGACAGAGCUGCUCAAAUCCAGCUCUCUGAGGAGAUGAUGAAAGAAAAACUCUUAGCCGAUGAGAAACAUAAGAACAUCGGCAUCUUAAAGUCUUCAGGUGAUGCACUGAAGCAGAAAAUGUCUGAUCUAUCGGCAAAAAGAGAAGCUCUGCUGGCUGAACUCAAGCAAGUAGAAGACGCCCUGUCCCAAGCCCAGCAAGAAGAUAGUCAACUGCCGGAGACCAUCAAGCAUCUUGAACAGGAACGAAACGUCCAUGGUCGUAAAGCGCUGCAACUGAAGAAGAAGCUGAAGCCAAUUGAAGGUUCUGCCGAUGACGAUAUCAAAGAGAUAGAGACAGCCAACCAGAUUCGGCUGCGCGCCAUAUCUGCAAUCCAAGCGCUGCUGAACAUCUGAAGCUUUCAUCGGCGACACACCUUUGUUUCUCCGUUUUUAGCUUUUAGUCUAGCCGAUAAGACUGUUAUCGGCAUCUUUUGAAACAUUAAGUCUGCCCUUGAACAUUUAAAUUCAGCCGAUAGGAGUGUUAUCGGCACUUAACCUUUUAUGCAUCGAUCCAUAUGCUGGGGUAGUACUUCUUCAAAUAUUUGCCAUUUAACGCUCUGGGAAAUUCAACUCCUUCGAGAGUUUCUAGAAUAUAGGCAUUACGAGGAGCUGAGCGUUUUAUCCGAUAAGGACCUUCCCAAUUAGGAGACCACUUCCCAAACUUUGAACUUUUAGUCCCGACUGGCAAAAUCAACUUCCAUACCAAAUCCCCAUCGGCAAACUCCUUAGCCUUCACCUUUUUAUCAUACCAUCUGGCAACUCUCUUCUUAUUUUCUUCUAUACUCAUUAAAGCCUUUAACCGAUGCCCUGCUAAAUCAUCUAACUCAUCGGUCAUUAAAAUGGCAUAAUCAUCGGCAGCCAAUUGAUCUUGAAAAGAUAAUCGCCUAGAUCCAGCCUUAAUCUCCCAAGGCAAAACUGCAUCAUGUCCAUACACCAAUUGAUAAGGUGACACCUUGGUUGAUCCAUGACAAGCCAUCCGAUAAGACCACAGUGCUUCAUUCAACAAUGUAUGCCACCGCCUAGGAUUUUCUUCAAUCUUUCGUUUAAUAAGCUUGAUAAUUCCCUUGUUAGACGCUUCGGCCUGCCCAUUGGCUUGAGCAUAGUAAGGAGAAGAAUUCAACACUUUAAUUCCCAUACCGAUUGCGAAUUCAUCGAACUCCCCCGACGUGAACAUGGUGCCCUGAUCGGUAGUAAUCGUUUGGGGAAUCCCAAAUCGGUAAAUAAUAUGCUCCUUCACAAAAUCAAUCAUAUUGGCCGAUGUGACUUUCUUCAAAGGAAUAGCUUCGACCCACUUGGUGAAAUAGUCAGUGGCAACUAGAAUGAAUUUAUGCCCUUUGCUAGAUGGUGGAUAAAUCUGGCCGAUCAGAUCGAUGGCCCAUCCCCGGAACGGCCAAGGUUUUAUUAUAGGAUUCAUAGCCGAUGCGGGUGCUCUCUGGAUAUUACCGAACUUUUGACAACCUUGACAUCCCUUGAAAUAUUUAAAACAAUCUUCAAGUAUGGUUGGCCAAAAAUAUCCAUUCCUUCGAAUCAUCCACUUCAUCUUAAAAGCUGACUGAUGCGCUCCACACACUCCUUCAUGGAUUUCUCCCAUCAAACUUCUGGCUUCAUCAUCACCCAAGCAUCGGAGAAGAAUUCCGUCGAUAGUUCGAUAAUACAAUUCAUUUUCAAGGAUCACAUACUUGGUUGCUUGAAAUCGAACCCGUCUUUCAACUUUUUUGGAUGGAUCUUUUAGAUAAUCAAUAAUUUCUUCCCUCCAAUCACCGGCACUGACUGCCGAUGUCGCAUUAAUCAUUGGCUGAUAUCCCGAGGCAUGCUGGGCCAACCGAUUAGCGUCUUCAUUAUGCAAUCGGGGAACAUGCUCCAAUCGGAAGUUCUUGAAUUCUUUUAACAGUUGCAUACUUCUCUCGAAAUAGGUUAUGAGAACUUCACUUCGGCAUUCAUAGCUUCCGACCAAUUGAUUUAUAACCAACAUGGAAUCUCCGAAUACUUCGACAGCAUCAGCACGAACUUCUCUUAACAACUCCAAUCCCUUGAUCAGAGCUUGAUACUCAGCCUGAUUAUUUGUUGAUGUAGCAACAAUCGGCAAGGAAAACUCAUACUUCCUCCCUUUAGGAGAAACUAAUACAAUACCGAUUCCUGCUCCUCGGUCACAGGUAGAUCCAUCAAAGAAGAGCGUCCAGGGUGCAAUUUCCAAAGUCUCCACUAGACCGCAAUGCUGAGUCACAAGAUCGGCCAUAACCUGCCCUUUGACCGCCUUAGUCGAUUCGUAACGCAAAUCGAACUCCGACAGCGCCAAAAUCCACUUACCGAUCCUACCACUCAUAAUCGGCAUAGAUAGCAUGUAUCGGACCACGUCAUCUUUGCAAACAACAGCAAUUCGGCCGACAACAGAUAAUGUCUUAGCUUGAUACAUGAGAAAUAUAAGCACAAGCACAGCUUCUCUAUGGCCGAAUACCUGGUUUCAGUAUCAAUCAACCUCCUGCUCAAAUAAUAAAUUACUCUCUCCUUCCCUUCAAAUUCUUGAACUAAAGCUGAACCGAUAACCGAUCCAUCGGUAGAUAAAUAUAAUUUGAAGGGUUUCCCUUGUUGGGGUGGAACUAAAACUGGAGGAUUCACUAGAUACUUUUUGAUCUCAUCCAGAGCCAACUGCUGUUCUUCUCCUCAAACAAACUCUUGAUCGGCUUUCAAUUUAAGAAGAGGACUGAAAGCACGAAUUCUCCCAGAUAAAUUCGAUAUAAAUCUUCUGAUAAAAUUCACCUUGCCGAUCAAGGAUUGGAGCUCGGUUUUAUUGGUAGGGGCCACUAUUUUAUUGAUGGCAUCAAUAGAUCUUCGACUAAUCUCAAUACCCCUCUGAUGUACCAUAAAACCAAGAAACUGUCCUGCCGAUACGCCAAAUGCACACUUGUUGGGAUUCAUCUUCAAUCCAUGCUUCCUUGUGCACUCCAACACUCUUCGUAAAUCGGCAAGAUGCUUUGAGAAAUCUCCAGACUUGACCACCACAUCAUCAAUAUAAAUUUCUACGAUCUUGCCGAUGAACUCAUGAAAUAUAAAAUUCAUAGCCCUUUGAUAAGUAGCACCGGCAUUCCUUAACCCAAAAGUCAUGACUAUCCAUUCAAAUAGUCCAACAUGACCAGGACACCUGAAUGCGGUUUUUGGAAUAUCCUCUUCUGCCAUGAAUAUUUGAUUGUAACCCGCAUUACCAUCCAUGAAGCUGAUGACCCGAUGGCCAGCCACAGCAUCAACCAGCAGAUCGGCGACAGGCAUUGGAUAUCCAUCCAUCGGCGUAGCUUUAUUGAGAUUCCUGAAAUCGAUGCAUACCCGAAGCUUCCCGUUCUUCUUGUAAAUCGGGACGACAUUGGAAAUCCAUUCAGCAUACCGACACUGCUGAAUAAACUUAGCUUCAAUAAGUUUAGUGAUUUCGGCCUUAAUAUCAGGUAGAAUGUUAGGAUUACAUCGGCGGGCUGGUUGCUGAUGUGGCCGAAAUCCAGACUUAAUGGGUAACCGGUGUUCAACAAUUGAUCGGUCUAAACCAGGCAUCUCUGUAUAAUCCCAAGCAAAGCAAUCUUUAUAUUCCUUUAACAAACUAGUUAAUUGCCGUUUACACUCAGGAUCUAGUUUAGCGCUAAUAAAAGUAGGCCUAGGCCUAUCACCACUACCUAUAUCUACUUCUACCAAAUCAUCGGCCGAUGUGAAUCCCUGGCCUAAUUUUCCAUCAUCGGCGAAUCUAUCCAUUAAAAACCAUCGUCAGAACCGACUGCUUGGAUCGGUGGAAUCUCAUAAUCGGCAACUUUGAGAAAAUCUUUCUCCCAAACUUCUCCUGAAAUGCACCUAGUCUUUUCAUAAGUAUCCGCUUCUGCUGAUGCGAUAACAUAAGAAGAAUCCCCUGGGACGAUCUCAAUCUUGUCACCUACCCACUGAACCAAGCACUGAUGCAUUGUAGAUGGGACACAACAAUUGGCAUGAAUCCAAUCUCUCCCCAAUAAUAAAUUGUAGGCACCUUUUCCGCUGAUCACGAAAAAGGUUGUCGGCAAGGUUUUGCUGCCGAUGGUCAACUCCGCACAUAUCGCCCCCUUGACCGGAGACACGUUUCCCUCGAAGUCCUUGAGCAUCAUAUCGGUCUUGGUCAAAUCUUGAUCCCCUUUCCCAAGCUUCCGAUAUACUGCAUAUGGCAUAAUAUUAAUAGCAGCCCCACCAUCAACUAGGAUCUUAGUCAUUGGCUGCCCAUCAACCCUUCCUUUGAGGAACAAAGCUUUAAGAUGCUGCCUCUCGUUAUCGGCAGGUUUCUCAAAGAUAGCCGUCAUUGGAUCCAGAGCCAACUGAGCUAUCUGAUCAGAAAAUCCCAACUCAUCGUCACUGGCCGGUGCAAGAAACUCCAUCGGCAACAUGAAUACCAUGUUGACGCCUGCCGAUGGACCUUCUUUCUUAGCGUCUGACGGCUGCCGACUCCCAGAAUUCUCUCCUUUAUUUAGCUCUUCCUGCCUUUCACGUUGCAAUCUCCUUUUCUGUGUCUUGGUUAAUCCUUGAGGGCACCAUGGAGGAAGUGGCCUUUGUCUUGCCGUCGGGCGUUGGUUCUCUCUUGACUCCAUGCGAUGCGUGUUAGUAUCCCUGCAAAAUAUGAAUUCAUCGGGAACCCGCGCAUCAGCCAUUCUUUCAAGCUCCUCUUGGUUCCUGGGAAAAUACUGGACACGGUCACCGAGCCGAUCGUGAACGCUAAGCCUGCCCCCCAGCCGAUCAUGAACCGCCGCCCUUCCUCUGAUCGGCCCAUUAAAUCGUCGUUCAUCAUCAUGAUAACGCCGAUCGUUCCUGUCGUACCGAUCAUAACCGUUGCAUUCAGGGCAGUCUCUGACAGUAGGAAGCUUGAUAUUUUCCUCCCAACAAUGGAUGAAGAAUGGGCAAUUCCAAUGAUCCCUGUGCCGAUUCCACUCCUGUCGGCGUCUCUCUUCUUCCCGUUGAUAAUCUUCCUGCUGGCGCCGGUACCGAUCUUCCCGUUGUUGCCAUCUCUCUCGAGGCCUUCUAUGAGUUAUGACAAUACCAGAUCGAGGAAUUCUUCCUGAGCUAGCCCCUUCCUGGACCAAGCCCUUACUUCUUGCAUCGGCGGUAGUAACUUGAUGCUGAGGAUCUACCGAUGCACUCUUCUCAACUGUCUCCGACGUUAAGACCUUAGCCUUCCCCUUAGCAUCCAACAUGUUCGUCGGGAAAGGAUGUUGGUCUAUCUUCAUCGGCUUCUGGGCUUUGGAACUAUCAAACUUGAUUCUCCCUGACUCUAUGGCCGAUUGCAGCUGUUGUCUGAAUACUUUACACUCAUUGGUAUCAUGUGAAGUUGCAUUAUGCCACUUGCAAUACCUCAUCCUCUUCAACUCUUCUGCCGACGGGAUCACGUGGUUAGGUGACAAUUUGAUUUGACCUUCUUGAAGUAGAAAGUCAAAUAUCCUAUCGGCCUUGGCGGUGUCAAAUGCAAACUUCUCUGGUUCCUUCUGCCCAAAAGGACAGGACAUCGGCUUCUUGUUUUUUACCCAUUCUGCCAAACCGAUUACUGGGUCUUCAUCGGAAUCUGAGCUUGUUGCUUCAUCAACGAAUGAGACUUUCUUAUUCCAUGCCCUCUUAGGCUCGAAAGGCUUGAUGUCUUGAUCGGAUAUCCUCUGCACCAAGUGACUUAAACUUUCAAACUCCUGAGAGGCAUACUUAUCCCUGAUGUGUGGCAACAAACCCUGGAAAGCCAAAUCGGCUAGCUGCCGAUCAUCCAGAACCAGGCUAUAGCAUUUAUUUUUGACCUCUCGUAUCCUCUGCACAAAUCCCUCAACCGACUCAUCAUUACGUUGCCUCAACUUGACCAAGUCGGUGAUCUUCUUCUCAUGAACCCCCGAGAAGAAGUAUCUGUGGAAUUGCUUCUCUAGAUCGGCCCAAGUAAUUACUGAAUUGGGAGGCAACGAUAUGAACCAAGUAAAGGCCGAUCCAGACAAUGAUGAUGAAAAUAGACGAACUCUUAAUUCGUCCCUGUUACCAGCUUCUCCACAUUGAAUAAUGAACCUGUUGACAUGCUCCAUGGUUGACGUGUCGUCCUGUCCGGAAAACUUUGUAAAAUCCGGUACCUUGUACCGAUGUGGUAGCGGGAUCAAAUCAUACGCUGGAGGAUACGGUGUCCGGUAAGAAUAAGUGUUGACUUUGGGUUUUAUCCCAAAUUGUUCCUUCAUUACUUCAGCAAUCUUAUCGGCCCAAUAAGCAUCGGCAUCUUGCCGAUGAGGCAGCUGCGGAUCCGGCACUUGGUGGCGAACCUCCACGUGUCUGUUUGGGACCUGACCUGUAUGGAACAUCGUAUUGGUCACCUGUCCUCCAAUCUGCGGACUACCAAACUGCUGUCCACCGACUGGCUGUCCUCCGAGUUGCUGUCCAAAAUUUAUUGGCUGGUUGGACAUUCCCUGACCUUGGAACCCGGGAUAAACCUGCCCUUGCUGGAACCCCGUAGUCUGAUAACCCUGCUGGGGCGACUGUGGAAAGGCUUGCUGUCCAAGCCAUCCAUUAUUAGCGUUCAUCGGCAUAGGUGCUGCCGAUGAUUGGUAAUUGGGUAUUGUCGUUGAAUUGACAUACCCCGACUGGGCCAUAGGCCUCUGUUGCAUCAGCAUUGACUCUGCCGAUGCGUUGGGCAUCUGGAACAUUGAAUCUUGAGGAUUUCCAGUGUGAGGCCUUGCAGUAGUAGUUGUGGUAUACCGAGGACUCUGGUUCACCGGCACAUUGGAAGGUACCGACGUCAUAGGAGUUUUGCCCCUCAUGUCAGUUGUCUGUGAUGUUCCCGGCGUCAACUCUGGAGGCAUACCAUAACCCCACCAAUUGGGGGGAAGAUUUAACCCUGACAUUGCCGAUGCCAACAUAUCUGUCGUCAGUUUAUGCUGCCCAACUGAAAUUUGGGGGUUGGUUGCCAUCGGCAUAGAUAGUGCACCGGUAGUCCCCAAUGUACUUGGAGGGACGGCAGACUGUGCACUUGCACUCGUCAAGGCAGCCGAUGGAGCCGUGACCUCUGGUGCCGUGGGUUGAUGAUGGGAAGGGCCCACAUAAUCCGGCGGGAUUUGUCCUUCCUUGAAAGUUCUUGCCACGGCGUUGAACACCGUGUUAGACAGUACACCAGCUUGGUUGAUCAGCGCUCGAUUGAUGGCAUUGUCAACCAUGUCUUGAAGCUUGCCAGGAUUAGCGUCGAAGGUGACCUGCCGUGGUGCCGGCAGUGCAUCUUUCUGGACCACUUCGCCGCUUCUGUUUAUGCUGAAAGACUUCAGGCACUGCUGCUUGAACUCUUCCAUGGCUUGGGCAAUAGCUUGCUUCUGCUCAUCCUUAAGGUUAGCUUCCGUCACGGGGAUGACGUUGUCUUGAUCGAGGUCAGAGAUCGACAUGCUGAUCUUGAUCUUGAAUCUGUCCCACCAGGCGUGCCAAAAGAUGUGUUGAUGCAAAACAGAUCUGCAAACACAAAGGGCUAAUACCCGAUUCAAACGUUAAGGCGUGCCAGCCGAUUUAACCUUACUAUCGGCAAAGGUGAUAACUCGAAUACUUUAGUCCUGACAACAGCGAUGCGCCCGGAUGUCACGGCUAAGAGGUACUCACGCGGAACUUAAGGAUACGCCGAGCUUGAGUCGACGAAUUCCUAAGAACUCGUAACAAAAAGAAAAACGUAUGACGAAGUCGUCGAAAAGUAAAUACUAGAAUAUGAGUAAGAGCGUGUGUUUGAUUGAUUGAUAGAUGUCCUGAUUACAAGGUCUUAGGGCUUAUAUUUAUACCCUGCUCAAAGAGCUACGACCAGACACGAUUAGAAUUCGAAUUCCAAAUUACACGGAACCCGUAUACAAAACGAUACGAAUAACAUAAGGAAAUAAUAAAACCAUCCUUCGUGACAAACCGAAACUCCUCCACAUGACAACUGGCAGCUUCCGGACUCCUCCUUCGCGUCAUCGGCAAUCCCCUUGCCAUAGUCAUCGGCAGACCCUUUUACUUGGUCAUCGGCACUAUAUUACUGUCUGGGGACUUAGUCACAUUCAACCUUUCCCUCAUCGGCAACCAUCCUUACCAGCAACCCGCAUCGUACUGCCACCCUGUCCUGCCAUCCUGGACACGUGCCCAAAAAUGGUGUCAACAAAUGGGGAGGCUAACAGAAUCUAGACAACACAAAGGAUGUUCGACCCGCACCUAUAAACCCUAUCCUUCCUGCUAACGAGAUGUGAUCUACAAAGGUAGCUCGGAAUUGUCACGUUCCUCACUACUACCACGGUCCAGCUAGUCAGGGAAUAUCUAUGAGUACCCCAGCCUAAACACCACGUUUACGCCAGCAAUGAUUACUCUAAACUCUACGCGAAGAGAUUAAAGUAAACUCAUAAACCAUAAGAACAAUAAAACAAGAACUUACUAGAAUUUAGAAGUCGAAAUACUGAAGAAUCCUAGGAGCAAUCUUCGGGUUAGGAGAACUUGAUCCCGCAGGUACAAGCUUGGAGUAGACACCGACAGGCCGGGCUUCCUCCAAUCUACACCUCCACUCUAUCUCUCUCAAUCUAGUAGAAACUAGAAGAUCUAUUUCUACCUUACAUUGGUUGCUAAGCCUAAAAAGAAAUAUUAAUUAGAGAAGAGGUUUUCCUUCGAGGGCACCCCUCAGUCUCUAUGAUAAUUUCUUCAUGUCUUCUCCAGGGGCCAGGGGGUCUCCUUAUAUAGUCCUCCCCUUCUAUGCGUUUUUGGGUCGAUAGGCGAUGUGGUACUAUGUUAUUCUUGAUCCAAUAGGUCGGUGGAAUAUCCUGAGCGAAGAGAGUCCUGAAAGCAAUCCAACAGGGGGCGGGCGCCCAGGUCACCAGGGCGGGCGCCCUAGGCCUGGCCCCUUUCGGCCUCCGUCUUCUUCCCGUGCCUUCUGGAGUCUUCUAGAUGGUAGAAAAUCGCGCGGUGCGUUCAUAUCUCUAUGUAAUCCUGACAUGUGGGCCUUUCUUCCUUAUUUCCUGAUAACCCCCUGCAGAAAUAGACAAACACCAAAACUCGUGGAAUUCUGUCAGAUAAAACCCUAAGUCUAGAUGUUGAUUUCAUUUAGAUCCUUUUCUUUGUUUAUUUAAUAAUUAAAUUUGAUACUUAAGGACCGUCAACAAACUCUCCCAAGCUUACCUCUUGCUCGUCCCUGAGCAAGGAUAGACUUUGCUAUGGAUCAGAAGUUGUUGCAAUAUCUUAAAAAUUUGACGGUACACAUGCUUUUAAAUAAGAUCUCAUCUCUGAGUUAGAGUAAACUGUCAAGAAUUAAAACUUACUUACUUUACCUCUCACCAUGGGACUUGUAACCGUCACUUCUGUCUUGAGUAGUUAAAAGAUAGAACAGUGUAGCGAACUGCCAUGUCUCUUAUUCUUGAUCAGCUAUAGCUCUGGGGUUUUUGCAGAUUUUCAAAUAAAACUCAGAGAUUCCUUGUAUGAUUCUCUCAUAUCUCUCUUUUGUGGUAUUUCUGGAUCCUUACCAAGGCAUUGAUGGUAUAUGCCUUCUCUCAAGAUAUGUGGUAUUUGUGGUAUAAGGCAUAGUGACAUUGCCUUCUCUCUCACCCUACUCUAAUAAGACUUGAUAUCCGGAGCUCAUAGGUGGGAGACAGUUAAUACAUACUUAUAAGACAUUUAUUGCAUAGUCAAACCAUGGAUCCAGAGAAACAAAUCAAUAAGCCAAAUCAAGAUGUGCAUGUGUGGCGAAUGAAUGGUGUAUGGUGAUGAUGGUAAUAACAAUGGUGAAAGUCUAAUUCUACUUUUGCUCUUUUGAGGGGAUACAUACCUUCCUUGCUUUUUGAAACUUUAUGAGGAGAAUGAAAUGCUCUUCUUUUUCUUUCCUCUCAGGUGGGUAUCUUGUACCCCUAAUUCUACUGUCGGACACUUGUCCAUUUUUACCUCUCGUCUCACUUUUUCUUUCUUUUGAGGUUCCGGGCACUUGCCCCUUUUUAUUUCCUCGUUUAUAUAUAUAUAUAUUUUUUCUUCUCUUUUCUUUCUUUUUUUUUCAGAGCACUCAUCUCUUGAGAUAAUAUAGCAAGUGGUAGUAACCAAAAUAUUUGGAGCAUUUAUUUCAUAGGGAAUAACAGGGAUAGGAAAAUGUUUUUUGACUAUUCUCUCCCGGAUUAGGAGUAGAAUAUUUUUGGGUGAUUCUGGAGAUGGAAAUGGAUGGAUAUAUGUGGAUGGUACUUCCGGAGUAGAAGUAGCAUAUAUGAGUGAACGUGCAAGUGAAUCUUGAUUUAACCACAUGACAAGCUCCUAAGGGUCUACACAGCUUGACCACACUCUAUGCUCAUAAGCAGUAAAUAGUAAAUGUGUGUCUCAAAGUCUAGCAAGCAUGUAUAUAUGGCUGUGGUAGGAAUUUAAACUCUCAUCAUACAGGAACUCAUCAUGUAAUAUUUUAAAGAUUUUUCAAGAUAAGUUUUUCCAGAAUUCUAGCAUCUCUAGGAACAGAUAAACAGCAGCUCAACCUUCCCAUAUCAUAUCCGUUAACAACUUGGAUUUCAGAUCAAGUUUUCAUCCCACAAGUGUAGAUCUAGAGCAAGCUUUGAAUUAUAACAGUUAUGUCUAAACUUGAGAGGGAACUUCAAAAUUGCAAAUUAGGCAGAGCAACUAUUCAUCAUAUCCAUGCUAGAGUUUUAUUAUUAAGAUUCAGAUUAGCAUAGCCACUUUAUUUAUUUAUUAAACAUACUAAGCAAAAGAUAUAUAUAAGCAGAAAAUCUUUAUUUGGUUUUUCAUAGUUUAUGUAUUUUAAUAUUCUAACAUAAUAUAAGUAUAAAGAUAGAUAGAAAUACUUAGCGAGAAUAAUGGGGGUGCUUUCCCCCAAGCUGAAUUUUGACGUAAUUUCUCUUGAUGUAGCUAGCAGGUGGCAGAGGUGUAUUUGAAAGUCAGCAGCAUUCUGACAGCGAUUAGAAUGUCCUCCGUCUGCUAGUCUUCUUGAUUCUUAAAUUCUGUGGAGCUCAAAUAGACAACAAAGCUUGUGGAACUAAUUAAGUGUUAGCAUAAAUAUCUAUCCUUCAUCAUGUUGAGCUUCCUUAAUAAAUAUUAUUUAUUAAGCAGGAUCAUACACUUAUUAUUAUUAUAUAUAUAUAUUUUUAUAUAUAUAUAUAUAUUUAUUGUAAGAUGAAAACUUAUUUAUUUUAUUUUUAUGCCACCACAGUGAAUGUACUUAUGGGUUUUAUGCCAUGAGCAUACUCACAUAAGGCUUACUAUUUUUUAACAUUUUUAUUUUCUUUUCAAGAUAGCAUGAACCUGAUUAACUAAGCAAAUUAUAAUUGAAUAAUUGAAAGGAAAGGGUAACUACCAAGUUUACCUCUUGGCAAGGCGUUCGGUAUUUUUAUGUCCUCCGAACGGGACUCUCUGUUUUCUCAGUCGUCCUGGGAUUCGCUAGGUGGCGUAGUCGGUGAUUUCGAUGACGCCUCUCUUCGUGUAUAACUAUCUUCUCCCUCCACACCUGACUCGGUGCUACGGUCUCCUCAGGACAGUUCUGUUCAAGCUGUAUGACUUCAGUCCUUAUCACUUUUCCUUCGUAGUCUACCCAUCCGUUCUUGAUGAUUUGCCUCCUCUUGGUUGCGGUUGCGUCGUCUUCUUGUCCUGACCUACUUAGAUUCUUCAACUAUAUAGUUAUGGUCAGUAAAAUAGUUGCGUACCUUCUCAGAGGGGAAGUACAUGUGGACUUCUCCGGUUCCAAUAUAGAUGAUUGCUUUGAUAGUGUUGAGGAACGGUCUUCCAAGGAUGGUGGGUGGAUCAUACUCGUCUUCUCCCAUGUCAAUGACCUGAAAAUCAUCUGGAGCUGAAUAUAUUGGUUGUAGGGACAUGGUUCCAUGUAGGAGCGGAUAAGUGACUGUGGCCAUUAUGUUGUCGUUAGAUCCAGUGUCGUAGAGUGUCUUCUGAAAAGAGUAUCCAUUGAUUGUGCACUCGAUGCUUGGAACACCAUGGUCGUCCUUCUUGAUCAAGAAAGGUGACUUGAGUCGACGAUGUUGACCUCUUCCGACAAGGAUCCAAUGUUUUAAGUCUUCUGGACAAGACUUUCCACCAUCUUCAUCCUUUAGGUGCAUCAUUUGAUUAGGUGUGGACCUUGACGUCUGUACCUCUUGAUACAGUGUCACCCAUGUUCUUCUUUGCCCAGCAGUUCGAAGUAUGGUGUUGGCAAUAUCCUGCUCAGUGUGUUUGUGCUCAUAGAUCUAGGUCCUUCACUUGGUGGAGUCUAGGAGUUGUAAAACUCCUCCAUGUUUUGCUUGAAGUGUACCUGUUCAUAGAGACAAGGCAGAGAUCAAGUGCAUGGGCUCUGUUGGUGGAAAACACCAACAGAACCAAAAGUGUAUUUGUUCUUCUCUAACCUUAAGCAUAGUGAGCAAGAAAAAUUUGAUGGAUAAUAAGAUCAUGAGUGUAGUAUUUGAAACAUUUGUCAGAUCAGAUGGCUCAACCUAAUGGAAAGAUAAUCUAUCUAUAUUUAUGUUUUGUUUAUAUCUUUCAAAUAUUGAAUGUGCAACAUAUUAGCUUAUAUGUUUAGAAGCGUGGGAUCACGAAGGUAGUACUAAGAACAAAGAUUAAAGGACUAAACAUGUUGAAUUAAUUGAGUUGGUUAAUCUGGAGUUAUAAAUCAUACAUGUUUGUCUCUUUAUUUAUGUGAAUGCUAGAACCAAGGAGAAGCUUAUAAAAGCGAUAGUCAAGUACCUUAAGGUGUUACCUUACUUGCAGAGUGUGGGGGUAUAAACCCCUAUACCCUCAUGGGCCUAUAUGGGCCGCACCAUCAGAGGUGGCUCGACCCACAGGAUGAAGACGUGCGGCGCACGACUGGUCGGCGUGCACCGCAAGGCUACAAGAUAUUGUACCAAAUAGGAUACUUUGCUUGUAACUCUGUCCCUUCAGGAUAUAUAAGGAGGGGCAGGGGUCCCCUAGAGGACAGAUCAUACAUCAUAUUCUCUCAACACAAAUCAAUACAACCAGACACAGGACGUAGGUAUUACGCCAACUCGGCGGCCGAACCUGGAUAAAAAGCUUGUCCGUGUCUUGCGUCACCAUCGAGUUCGUAGUUUGCGCACCGUCUACCGAUAAACUACUACCGUGGGUAUACCCCAAGGUAGACUGCCGACCAGCUUUCGUCGACAGUGGCGCGCCAGGUAGGGGGUGUGCGUACAGCUCUCCCGACGAACAAGAUGGCCAUCAUCCCCGACUUCGCGGCCAUGGCGGGCGACUUCACAUUCACUGUCAGCUUCAACAACUUCACCGCCAUGACCACGGAGGAGGUGUAGAUCCGAUCUGCGCCAACCACUUCUUCAUCAACGACGGCGGCGACUUCAACCACGCUGGCUACGACUCUGACUACUCCAGCAACGUCUCCGACCACGCCGACAAUGCGUCACCCGCUUCCCUGCUACAAAGGGAGGCAGAUCGACAACACCGACCUGCUCGGGCCAUUGACCAAAUUGUUUGGCCUACUUGCUCUGACCACCGGUCGCAAUAAUCGCCGCGAAGAAAGACGCUAUGACAACAGCGACCACCGUCAUGACAAGUCGAAAAGCUCGAAGGCCGGACAAUUUUGUCGUCACCGACUAGACUUUCGUCCAAAGAUAAGUACACUUCUAAUAUUUUAUUUAUUUUUGGCAUAAUAUUUUUAAUAUUAUUAUUCUUUAAAACAACUUUUUUAGCCGACUAGUUUUUUCUCCUACACGAGCUUUCCAGAGCCGGUACUGUCUCCGACUCCUCCCUACACGUGCACGAGAUCCGCCCUCUGCGUUCCGGGUGGUCGGUAGUAGCUCUCUGACGUGGCUGACAAUCCUACGCGUGCCUAGGUUCCGCACCUCAUGCUGAUUGUUGGCUAGACCAGAGCUGGUACAAGCUCUAGGACGAAUUAACUACUCGUGGUAAUUUUAUAACAAAAAAUCUAAAACUUAUUUUAGUACUGAUUUUUUAUCUAAAGGUUAUUUAUACAUCAUGUACUACCAAUUCUUUAUAUUUAUUUUUCAGGAGUUUGGCCCAGUCGACAAGCUACGCUCGGGGACUCGUCGACUAUUCCCUACGCUGUGCCCGGGGACUGCUCCGACCACCGAGCACGUUUACGUUCCCAACCACGCUCGGGGACUUGUCGACUACUCUCUAUGCUGUGCUCGAAGACUGUGCCGACCACCGAGCACGUUUACGUUCCCAACCACGAUCGAGAACUUGUCCACCGGUCCCUACGCCGUGCUCGGGGACUGUGCUGACCACCGAGCAUUAUACGCUCGGGGACUGGUCGACCAGCUCACCAAUUUGAGAGUUUGGGGUUUGCACCGACCACCGAGCACUAUACGCUCGGGGACUGGUCGACCAGCCCACCAAUUUGAGGAUUCGGGGACUGUACCGACCACCGAGCGUUAUAUGCUCGGGGACUGGUCGAUUAGUCUAUUCAAUUGCAGACGAGCAUGAUAUGCUCGGGGACUGGAGAAUUUUAAUUUUUCAGACCUUGCUACAAGGCUCAUACUUUGCCUUCCAGCAAGCUCGGGGACUACAUUGGUACGAUGUAUCUGGCGAUGCAUCCCAGUUUCAAAACUACUUUGGGGAAUUCUCUUUUGACCCUGGCACCACAUGCCUACGUCACCUACUACCAGACUCGGGGACUAAGUGGGCACACUUCACCUUGCGGUGAAUAUGUUUGCUUUUUUGAGGUCUAUACUUUUCAAAAAAGUAAAGUGGGCACACUUCACCAGGAAAGAAAUCUUUUUUAAUUAAGAGCACCAUGCAUUCUUCGAACAACCUGCUUCUUCGAUGUCAAUGUUGAUCAACUGUCUUUUGAGUUGGUUAAUCUGGAGUUAUAAAUCAUACAUGUUUGUCUCUUUAUUUAUGUGAAUGCUAGAACCAAGGAGAAGCUUAUAAAAGCGAUAGUCAAGUACCUUAAGGUGUUACCUUACUUGCAGAGUGUGGGGGUAUAAACCCCUAUACCCUCAUGGGCCUAUAUGGGCCGCACCAUCAGAGGUGGCUCGGCCCACAGGAUGAAGACGUGCGGCGCACGACUGGUCGGCGUGCACCGCAAGGCUACAAGAUAUUGUACCAAAUAGGAUACUUUGCUUGUAACUCUGUCCCUUCAGGAUAUAUAAGGAGGGGCAGGGGUCCCCUAGAGGACAGAUCAUACAUCAUAUUCUCUCAACACAAAUCAAUACAACCAGACACAGGACGUAGGUAUUACGCCAACUCGGCGGCCGAACCUGGAUAAAAAGCUUGUCCGUGUCUUGCGUCACCAUCGAGUUCGUAGUUUGCGCACCGUCUACCGAUAAACUACUACCGUGGGUAUACCCCAAGGUAGACUGCCGACCAGCUUUCGUCGACAGUGGCGCGCCAGGUAGGGGGUGUGCGUACAGCUCUCCCGACGAACAAGAUGGCCAUCAUCCCCGACUUCGCGGCCAUGGCGGGCGACUUCACAUUCACUGUCAGCUUCAACAACUUCACCGCCAUGACCACGGAGGAGGUGUAGAUCCGAUCUGCGCCAACCACUUCUUCAUCAACGACGGCGGCGGCUUCAACCACGCUGGCUACGACUCUGACUACUCCAGCAACGUCUCCGACCACGCCGACAAUGCGUCACCCGCUUCCCUGCUACAAAGGGAGGCAGAUCGACAACACCGACCUGCUCGGGCCAUUGACCAAAUUGUUUGGCCUACUUGCUCUGACCACCGGUCGCAAUAAUCGCCGCGAAGAAAGACGCUAUGACAACAGCGACCACCGUCAUGACAAGUCGAAAAGCUCGAAGGCCGGACAAUUUUGUCGUCACCGACUAGACUUUCGUCCAAAGAUAAGUACACUUCUAAUAUUUUAUUUAUUUUUGGCAUAAUAUUUUUAAUAUUAUUAUUCUUUAAAACAACUUUUUUAGCCGACUAGUUUUUUCUCCUACACGAGCUUUCCAGAGCCGGUACUGUCUCCGACUCCUCCCUACACGUGCACGAGAUCCGCCCUCUGCGUUCCGGGUGGUCGGUAGUAGCUCUCUGACGUGGCUGACAAUCCUACGCGUGCCUAGGUUCCGCACCUCAUGCUGAUUGUUGGCUAGACCAGAGCUGGUACAAGCUCUAGGACGAAUUAACUACUCGUGGUAAUUUUAUAACAAAAAAUCUAAAACUUAUUUUAGUACUGAUUUUUUAUCUAAAGGUUAUUUAUACAUCAUGUACUACCAAUUCUUUAUAUUUAUUUUUCAGGAGUUUGGCCCAGUCGACAAGCUACGCUCGGGGACUCGUCGACUAUUCCCUACGCUGUGCCCGGGGACUGCUCCGACCACCGAGCACGUUUACGUUCCCAACCACGCUCGGGGACUUGUCGACUACUCUCUAUGCUGUGCUCGAAGACUGUGCCGACCACCGAGCACGUUUACGUUCCCAACCACGAUCGGGAACUUGUCCACCGGUCCCUACGCCGUGCUCGGGGACUGUGCCGACCACCGAGCAUUAUACGCUCGGGGACUGGUCGACCAGCUCACCAAUUUGAGAGUUUGGGGUUUGCACCGACCACCGAGCACUAUACGCUCGGGGACUGGUCGACCAGCCCACCAAUUUGAGGAUUCGGGGACUGUACCGACCACCGAGCGUUAUAUGCUCGGGGACUGGUCGAUUAGUCUAUUCAAUUGCAGACGAGCAUGAUAUGCUCGGGGACUGGAGAAUUUUAAUUUUUCAGACCUUGCUACAAGGCUCAUACUUUGCCUUCCAGCAAGCUCGGGGACUACAUUGGUACGAUGUAUCUGGCGAUGCAUCCCAGUUUCAAAACUACUUUGGGGAAUUCUCUUUUGACCCUGGCACCACAUGCCUACGUCACCUACUACCAGACUCGGGGACUAAGUGGGCACACUUCACCUUGCGGUGAAUAUGUUUGCUUUUUUGAGGUCUAUACUUUUCAAAAAAGUAAAGUGGGCACACUUCACCAGGAAAGAAAUCUUUUUUAAUUAAGAGCACCAUGCAUUCUUCGAACAACCUGCUUCUUCGAUGUCAAUGUUGAUCAACUGUCUUUUGAGUUGGUCAAAAUACCGUUGCAACUGUUUGGGCGACUUUCCUGCUUAUCGAAGACGUCAAGCCUCACUAAUCGAAGAAGCUCAAGACGGCAUGUUACAUCACAAUACAUGGUGCUCGGGGACUAGCUGUGGGGGUAUAAACCCCUAUACCCUCAUGGGCCUAUAUGGGCCGCACCAUCAGAGGUGGCUCGGCCCACAGGAUGAAGACGUGCGGCGCACGACUGGUCGGCGUGCACCGCAAGGCUACAAGAUAUUGUACCAAAUAGGAUACUUUGCUUGUAACUCUGUCCCUUCAGGAUAUAUAAGGAGGGGCAGGGGUCCCCUAGAGGACAGAUCAUACAUCAUAUUCUCUCAACACAAAUCAAUACAACCAGACACAGGACGUAGGUAUUACGCCAACUCGGCGGCCGAACCUGGAUAAAAAGCUUGUCCGUGUCUUGCGUCACCAUCGAGUUCGUAGUUUGCGCACCGUCUACCGAUAAACUACUACCGUGGGUAUACCCCAAGGUAGACUGCCGACCAGCUUUCGUCGACAGUGGCGCGCCAGGUAGGGGGUGUGCGUACAGCUCUCCCGACGAACAAGAUGGCCAUCAUCCCCGACUUCGCGGCCAUGGCGGGCGACUUCACAUUCACUGUCAGCUUCAACAACUUCACCGCCAUGACCACGGAGGAGGUGUAGAUCCGAUCUGCGCCAACCACUUCUUCAUCAACGACGGCGGCGGCUUCAACCACGCUGGCUACGACUCCGACUACUCCAGCAACGUCUCCGACCACGCCGACAAUGCGUCACCCGCUUCCCUGCUACAAAGGGAGGCAGAUCGACAACACCGACCUGCUCGGGCCAUUGACCAAAUUGUUUGGCCUACUUGCUCUGACCACCGGUCGCAAUAAUCGCCGCGAAGAAAGACGCUAUGACAACAGCGACCACCGUCAUGACAAGUCGAAAAGCUCGAAGGCCGGACAAUUUUGUCGUCACCGACUAGACUUUCGUCCAAAGAUAAGUACACUUCUAAUAUUUUAUUUAUUUUUGGCAUAAUAUUUUUAAUAUUAUUAUUCUUUAAAACAACUUUUUUAGCCGACUAGUUUUUUCUCCUACACGAGCUUUCCAGAGCCGGUACUGUCUCCGACUCCUCCCUACACGUGCACGAGAUCCGCCCUCUGCGUUCCGGGUGGUCGGUAGUAGCUCUCUGACGUGGCUGACAAUCCUACGCGUGCCUAGGUUCCGCACCUCAUGCUGAUUGUUGGCUAGACCAGAGCUGGUACAAGCUCUAGGACGAAUUAACUACUCGUGGUAAUUUUAUAACAAAAAAUCUAAAACUUAUUUUAGUACUGAUUUUUUAUCUAAAGGUUAUUUAUACAUCAUGUACUACCAAUUCUUUAUAUUUAUUUUUCAGGAGUUUGGCCCAGUCGACAAGCUACGCUCGGGGACUCGUCGACUAUUCCCUACGCUGUGCCCGGGGACUGCUCCGACCACCGAGCACGUUUACGUUCCCAACCACGCUCGGGGACUUGUCGACUACUCUCUAUGCUGUGCUCGAAGACUGUGCCGACCACCGAGCACGUUUACGUUCCCAACCACGAUCGGGAACUUGUCCACCGGUCCCUACGCCGUGCUCGGGGACUGUGCCGACCACCGAGCAUUAUACGCUCGGGGACUGGUCGACCAGCUCACCAAUUUGAGAGUUUGGGGUUUGCACCGACCACCGAGCACUAUACGCUCGGGGACUGGUCGACCAGCCCACCAAUUUGAGGAUUCGGGGACUGUACCGACCACCGAGCGUUAUAUGCUCGGGGACUGGUCGAUUAGUCUAUUCAAUUGCAGACGAGCAUGAUAUGCUCGGGGACUGGAGAAUUUUAAUUUUUCAGACCUUGCUACAAGGCUCAUACUUUGCCUUCCAGCAAGCUCGGGGACUACAUUGGUACGAUGUAUCUGGCGAUGCAUCCCAGUUUCAAAACUACUUUGGGGAAUUCUCUUUUGACCCUGGCACCACAUGCCUACGUCACCUACUACCAGACUCGGGGACUAAGUGGGCACACUUCACCUUGCGGUGAAUAUGUUUGCUUUUUUGAGGUCUAUACUUUUCAAAAAAGUAAAGUGGGCACACUUCACCAGGAAAGAAAUCUUUUUUAAUUAAGAGCACCAUGCAUUCUUCGAACAACCUGCUUCUUCGAUGUCAAUGUUGAUCAACUGUCUUUUGAGUUGGUCAAAAUACCGUUGCAACUGUUUGGGCGACUUUCCUGCUUAUCGAAGACGUCAAGCCUCACUAAUCGAAGAAGCUCAAGACGGCAUGUUACAUCACAAUACAUGGUGCUCGGGGACUAGCUGUGGGGGUAUAAACCCCUAUACCCUCAUGGGCCUAUAUGGGCCGCACCAUCAGAGGUGGCUCGGCCCACAGGAUGAAGACGUGCGGCGCACGACUGGUCGGCGUGCACCGCAAGGCUACAAGAUAUUGUACCAAAUAGGAUACUUUGCUUGUAACUCUGUCCCUUCAGGAUAUAUAAGGAGGGGCAGGGGUCCCCUAGAGGACAGAUCAUACAUCAUAUUCUCUCAACACAAAUCAAUACAACCAGACACAGGACGUAGGUAUUACGCCAACUCGGCGGCCGAACCUGGAUAAAAAGCUUGUCCGUGUCUUGCGUCACCAUCGAGUUCGUAGUUUGCGCACCGUCUACCGAUAAACUACUACCGUGGGUAUACCCCAAGGUAGACUGCCGACCAGCUUUCGUCGACAGUGGCGCGCCAGGUAGGGGGUGUGCGUACAGCUCUCCCGACGAACAAGAUGGCCAUCAUCCCCGACUUCGCGGCCAUGGCGGGCGACUUCACAUUCACUGUCAGCUUCAACAACUUCACCGCCAUGACCACGGAGGAGGUGUAGAUCCGAUCUGCGCCAACCACUUCUUCAUCAAUGACGGCGGCGGCUUCAACCACGCUGGCUACGACUCCGACUACUCCAGCAACGUCUCCGACCACGCCGACAAUGCGUCACCCGCUUCCCUGCUACAAAGGGAGGCAGAUCGACAACACCGACCUGCUCGGGCCAUUGACCAAAUUGUUUGGCCUACUUGCUCUGACCACCGGUCGCAAUAAUCGCCGCGAAGAAAGACGCUAUGACAACAGCGACCACCGUCAUGACAAGUCGAAAAGCUCGAAGGCCGGACAAUUUUGUCGUCACCGACUAGACUUUCGUCCAAAGAUAAGUACACUUCUAAUAUUUUAUUUAUUUUUGGCAUAAUAUUUUUAAUAUUAUUAUUCUUUAAAACAACUUUUUUAGCCGACUAGUUUUUUCUCCUACACGAGCUUUCCAGAGCCGGUACUGUCUCCGACUCCUCCCUACACGUGCACGAGAUCCGCCCUCUGCGUUCCGGGUGGUCGGUAGUAGCUCUCUGACGUGGCUGACAAUCCUACGCGUGCCUAGGUUCCGCACCUCAUGCUGAUUGUUGGCUAGACCAGAGCUGGUACAAGCUCUAGGACGAAUUAACUACUCGUGGUAAUUUUAUAACAAAAAAUCUAAAACUUAUUUUAGUACUGAUUUUUUAUCUAAAGGUUAUUUAUACAUCAUGUACUACCAAUUCUUUAUAUUUAUUUUUCAGGAGUUUGGCCCAGUCGACAAGCUACGCUCGGGGACUCGUCGACUAUUCCCUACGCUGUGCCCGGGGACUGCUCCGACCACCGAGCACGUUUACGUUCCCAACCACGCUCGGGGACUUGUCGACUACUCUCUAUGCUGUGCUCGAAGACUGUGCCGACCACCGAGCACGUUUACGUUCCCAACCACGAUCGGGAACUUGUCCACCGGUCCCUACGCCGUGCUCGGGGACUGUGCCGACCACUGAGCAUUAUACGCUCGGGGACUGGUCGACCAGCUCACCAAUUUGAGAGUUUGGGGUUUGCACCGACCACCGAGCACUAUACGCUCGGGGACUGGUCGACCAGCCCACCAAUUUGAGGAUUCGGGGACUGUACCGACCACCGAGCGUUAUAUGCUCGGGGACUGGUCGAUUAGUCUAUUCAAUUGCAGACGAGCAUGAUAUGCUCGGGGACUGGAGAAUUUUAAUUUUUCAGACCUUGCUACAAGGCUCAUACUUUGCCUUCCAGCAAGCUCGGGGACUACAUUGGUACGAUGUAUCUGGCGAUGCAUCCCAGUUUCAAAACUACUUUGGGGAAUUCUCUUUUGACCCUGGCACCACAUGCCUACGUCACCUACUACCAGACUCGGGGACUAAGUGGGCACACUUCACCUUGCGGUGAAUAUGUUUGCUUUUUUGAGGUCUAUACUUUUCAAAAAAGUAAAGUGGGCACACUUCACCAGGAAAGAAAUCUUUUUUAAUUAAGAGCACCAUGCAUUCUUCGAACAACCUGCUUCUUCGAUGUCAAUGUUGAUCAACUGUCUUUUGAGUUGGUCAAAAUACCGUUGCAACUGUUUGGGCGACUUUCCUGCUUAUCGAAGACGUCAAGCCUCACUAAUCGAAGAAGCUCAAGACGGCAUGUUACAUCACAAUACAUGGUGCUCGGGGACUAGCUGUGGGGGUAUAAACCCCUAUACCCUCAUGGGCCUAUAUGGGCCGCACCAUCAGAGGUGGCUCGGCCCACAGGAUGAAGACGUGCGGCGCACGACUGGUCGGCGUGCACCGCAAGGCUACAAGAUAUUGUACCAAAUAGGAUACUUUGCUUGUAACUCUGUCCCUUCAGGAUAUAUAAGGAGGGGCAGGGGUCCCCUAGAGGACAGAUCAUACAUCAUAUUCUCACAACACAAAUCAAUACAACCAGACACAGGACGUAGGUAUUACGCCAACUCGGCGGCCGAACCUGGAUAAAAAGCUUGUCCGUGUCUUGCGUCACCAUCGAGUUCGUAGUUUGCGCACCGUCUACCAAUAAACUACUACCGUGGGUAUACCCCAAGGUAGACUGCCGACCAGCUUUCGUCGACAGUGGCGCGCCAGGUAGGGGGUGUGCGUACAGCUCUCCCGACGAACAAGAUGGCCAUCAUCCCCGACUUCGCGGCCAUGGCGGGCGACUUCACAUUCACUGUCAGCUUCAACAACUUCACCGCCAUGACCACGGAGGAGGUGUAGAUCCGAUCUGCGCCAACCACUUCUUCAUCAACGACGGCGGCGGCUUCAACCACGCUGGCUACGACUCCGACUACUCCAGCAACGUCUCCGACCACGCCGACAAUGCGUCACCCGCUUCCCUGCUACAAAGGGAGGCAGAUCGACAACACCGACCUGCUCGGGCCAUUGACCAAAUUGUUUGGCCUACUUGCUCUGACCACCGGUCGCAAUAAUCGCCGCGAAGAAAGACGCUAUGACAACAGCGACCACCGUCAUGACAAGUCGAAAAGCUCGAAGGCCGGACAAUUUUGUCGUCACCGACUAGACUUUCGUCCAAAGAUAAGUACACUUCUAAUAUUUUAUUUAUUUUUGGCAUAAUAUUUUUAAUAUUAUUAUUCUUUAAAACAACUUUUUUAGCCGACUAGUUUUUUCUCCUACACGAGCUUUCCAGAGCCAGUACUGUCUCCGACUCCUCCCUACACGUGCACGAGAUCCGCCCUCUGCGUUCCGGGUGGUCGGUAGUAGCUCUCUGACGUGGCUGACAAUCCUACGCGUGCCUAGGUUCCGCACCUCAUGCUGAUUGUUGGCUAGACCAGAGCUGGUACAAGCUCUAGGACGAAUUAACUACUCGUGGUAAUUUUAUAACAAAAAAUCUAAAACUUAUUUUAGUACUGAUUUUUUAUCUAAAGGUUAUUUAUACAUCAUGUACUACCAAUUCUUUAUAUUUAUUUUUCAGGAGUUUGGCCCAGUCGACAAGCUACGCUCGGGGACUCGUCGACUAUUCCCUACGCUGUGCCCGGAGACUGCUCCGACCACCGAGCACGUUUACGUUCCCAACCACGCUCGGGGACUUGUCGACUACUCUCUAUGCUGUGCUCGAAGACUGUGCCGACCACCGAGCACGUUUACGUUCCCAACCACGAUCGGGAACUUGUCCACCGGUCCCUACGCCGUGCUCGGGGACUGUGCCGACCACCGAGCAUUAUACGCUCGGGGACUGGUCGACCAGCUCACCAAUUUGAGAGUUUGGGGUUUGCACCGACCACCGAGCACUAUACGCUCGGGGACUGGUCGACCAGCCCACCAAUUUGAGGAUUCGGGGACUGUACCGACCACCGAGCGUUAUAUGCUCAGGGACUGGUCGAUUAGUCUAUUCAAUUGCAGACGAGCAUGAUAUGCUCGGGGACUGGAGAAUUUUAAUUUUUCAGACCUUGCUACAAGGCUCAUACUUCGCCUUCCAGCAAGCUCGGGGACUACAUUGGUACGAUGCAUCUGGCGAUGCAUCCUAGUUUCAAAACUACUUUGGGGAAUUCUCUUUUGACCCUGGCACCACGUGCCUACGUCACCUACUACCAGACUCGGGGACUAAGUGGGCACACUUCACCUUGCGGUGAAUAUGUUUGCUUUUUUGAGGUCUAUACUUUUCAAAAAAGUAAAGUGGGCACACUUCACCAGGAAAGAAAUCUUUUUUAAUUAAGAGCACCAUGCAUUCUUCGAACAACCUGCUUCUUCGAUGUCAAUGUUGAUCAACUGUCUUUUGAGUUGGUCAAAAUACCGUUGCAACUGUUUGGGCGACUUUCCUGCUUAUCGAAGACGUCAAGCCUCACUAAUCGAAGAAGCUCAAGACGGCAUGUUACAUCACAAUACAUGGUGCUCGGGGACUAGCUGUGGGGGUAUAAACCCCUAUACCCUCAUGGGCCUAUAUGGGCCGCACCAUCAGAGGUGGCUCGGCCCACAGGAUGAAGACGUGCGGCGCACGACUGGUCGGCGUGCACCGCAAGGCUACAAGAUAUUGUACCAAAUAGGAUACUUUGCUUGUAACUCUGUCCCUUCAGGAUAUAUAAGGAGGGGCAGGGGUCCCCUAGAGGACAGAUCAUACAUCAUAUUCUCUCAACACAAAUCAAUACAACCAGACACAGGACGUAGGUAUUACGCCAACUCGGCGGCCGAACCUGGAUAAAAAGCUUGUCCGUGUCUUGCGUCACCAUCGAGUUCGUAGUUUGCGCACCGUCUACCGAUAAACUACUACCGUGGGUAUACCCCAAGGUAGACUUCCGACCAGCUUUCGUCGACACAGAGUGAUGGUACAGUAUGACCUUGUGGAAGCUUUCCUUUCUUAGCGGUUGUGCAUCGUGUUUGUGACACCCUCCAUGAAUCAUCUCUUAUGAGCCACGUCUUUCUUGUGCAAAUUGUUAAACUUCAUGUGUCACUUUCUUCAUCUCCAAUGCGAGUUUAUCUCAGGACUUCCCAGGUUGAUAUUGAAUGUUUUCCUGCAGGGGUUAGUCCAACAAAAUAUCCCAUAUCUACUAUAGCAUACUAUCGGCUUAAAAAUCAACCUAGACACCAUGUCUAAUUUGAUUUAGAAGGGCAUUUUAACCUAAGCACCAUGCUUAAUUUAAAAUCCCUUGGAAGUAAGAUCAUCAUUCCUAAACUAAGCACCAUGCUUAAUUAAGAGAUAAAUGAAACUAUUCCAAACCUAGACAUAUACUAAAGCAAAUAAAGGUAGCAUGAGAGCAUUUAUAGAGAUCUACUUAAGUGGAGAUGAAGUAGUGUAAUUAGUAUUUAACAAAUUGAUCAUGUCUCAAAGGUAAGGACAACCAACGUAGCAACAUGGCAAAAGAUGUUUUUAUGUAAAGUACUCCCCCAAGCUUGAAUUUUACAAAAUUCAAGUUUGGAUGAAUUUAAUUCAAUGUUGUGUGAUGGUUGGUUGGACAUACCCUGUGCUUGUCAUUCAUCCGAUCUUCUUGCUCCAAUCCUGGAAAGGUUAGUGACAAGAAUACCCGAAGGAAUAUUUCUACAAUUAUCUUUAUAUGCUCAAUACACAAGGCAAUGUUGCAAAUAAUUAGAAGUUCAUGUUAUGAUCUGAUAAGUGCUUGUUUUAGGACACUAAGCUUGUCCUUGGGAAACCAUCAAGUUAUGUUGGUGAAGUGGUUUCCCCUCCAACACCUACCUAUAUCAAGAUCAACUCAACGAGAUCUACAAUAUUUAUUAUAGACAUAUGCAUCGACAACCGCCCUUUUAAAGUUUUUAUAAAUAGAAAGGAAGAGGGGUUGGAGAUCUCAAAUAUGGUAAGGAUGGAGAGACCAAAAGAUUGGGAAGAUGUUGCAUAUGGACAUGGAGUAAACAAAGUGGCUAUCAAAUAAAUUCCAUGCUCAUUAAUGUUAUCUUUGUCUCCAAUCUCCAACGAUGAUUUUUCAUGAAUACGUAAAAUUCCUCUAGGAUUGUCUCUCAAGUUUGUUUUAUCUAUCCAUUCAAUGGUGAUAGCACAUGGAUUUUUAAUGCCCUCUAGCCAUUGAUGUUGCUCUUCUCGAUCCUCGUUCUUAUGCAUGGGAUGUCUAGAGAGAUUCAUAGGAUUAUCGGGAGGUUUAAGAGAAAGAGCAUAGUAGAAUUUAUUAAGCUCAAGGAUGGGUUGGAUAGCCGAAUUAUGGGAUUGAAAUGUUUGGAAAUCGGCUAUUGAAACUUCAUUUCCUUGUUUAGGAGAUGAUUCCUUCUCUAUUUCUAAGAUUUUUCUAUGAAGACUAGUACAAGAAGGAUGUCCACGAAUGAAGACAUACCUUCCUUUACUAAUAGAUAAAGAAAGAAGGACUCUACCAAAGGUUAUAUGAUUAAGGCCAAUGUGAAAAUAUUCAGGAAAAAUAUGGUCUUGUAGGGCUAGGUCUAAACCAGAAUUUAUAGAAAGAUUAACAGAUUCCCUAGGUGUAGCUAAAAGUGCAUUAUCUUCUUGAUUAAAAGAUAGGACCUCGGCUAUAGAAAAGGGUUGGUUUUGACCUAUUGCAAUCAACUCCGGACACAGAUCAUAAUUAGGGGCAGGACGUGUUGACUCCCAUGGUCUAUGGCUGGUCUCCGAAGGUGCAAAGAAUUCAAUAAUAGGUAUGGAAUUUGAGUUAUCCAUAAAGAUAAAAAUAAAAAGAUAAAAGUAUAAAAGUAUAAUACAAGAUAAUAGCAAGACUCAAAGUUAUCUCAGCAAACCGUCUUUCUCCCCGGCAACGGUGCCAGAAAUGCUUGUUGAUAUUUGGUAACGCAAUAAGGAAACGAUCCGCAAGCGCACGGAUAUCGGUGAGCAUUUCACCCGGGAGGUUAUCCAGAGUUAUCGUAUUUAUAUUUUUACCACUAGGAGAAAGGGUGCAUCUGACUAACCAAAUCUAUUGCUACUAUCCCUUUAGGCACAAAGAAUGUCUUUCGAUGUGAGUGAUAAAUAGAGAAGACUGCAACCGUAGUCUCCUUCUAACCUUGGUAAGGAUGAUCUACUGUUCUAAUGGGGAGGCUAACGGAAUCUAGACAACACAAAGGAUGUUCGACCCGCACCUAUAAACCCUAUCCUUCCUGCUAACGAGAUGUGAUCUACAAAGGUAGCUCGGAAUUGUCACGUUCCUCACUACUACCACGGUCCAGCUAGUCAGGGAAUAUCUAUGAGUACCCCAGCCUAAACACCACGUUUACACCAGCAAUGAUUACUCUAAACUCUACACGAAGAGAUUAAAGUAAACUCAUAAACCAUAAGAACAAUAAAACAAGAACUUACUAGAAUUUAGAAGUCGAAAUACUGAAGAAUCCUAGGAGCAAGCUUUGGGUUAGGAGAACUUGAUCCCGCAGGUACAAGCUUGGAGUAGACACCGACAGGCCGGGCUUCCUCCAAUCUACACCUCCACUCUAUCUCUCUCAAUCUAGUAGAAACUAGAAGAUCUAUUUCUACCUUACAUUGGUUGCUAAGCCUAAAAAGAAAUAUUAAUUAGAGAAGAGGUUUUCCUUCGAGGGCACCCCACAGUCUCUAUGAUAAUUUCUUCAUGUCUUCUCCAGGGGCCAGGGGGUCUCCUUAUAUAGUCCUCCCCUUCUAUGCGUUUUUGGGUCGAUAGGCGAUGUGGUACUAUGUUAUUCUUGAUCCAAUAGGUCGGUGGAAUAUCCCGAGCGAAGAGAGUCCUGAAAGCAAUCCAGUAGGGGGCGGGCGCCCAGGUCACUAGGGCGGGCGCCCUGGGCCUGGCCCCUUUCGGCCUCCGUCUUCUUCCCGUGGAUUCUGGAGUCUUCUAGAUGGUAGAAAAUCGCGCGGUGCGUUCAUAUCUCUAUGUAAUCCUGACAUGUGGGCCUUUCUUCCUUAUUUCCUGAUAACCCCCUGCAGAAAUAGACAAACACCAAAACUCGUGGAAUUCUGUCAGAUAAAACCCUAAGUCUAGAUGUUGAUUUCAUUUAGAUCCUUUUCUUUGUUUACUCCCUCUGUCCCUGAAAGAAUCAAUUCCUAGGAUCCGUGCCAGUCAAACUUUUUAAAGUUUGACUAACUUUAUAGAAAAGAGUAACAACAUCUAUAAUAUAAAAUACACAUUAUAUGAAAAUAUAUUUUAUGAUGAAUCUAAUAAUACUAAUUUGAUACUAUAAAUCUUAGCAUUUUUUUCUAGAAAUUUGGUCAAAUUUUAAAAAGUUUGACUUAGGACAACUCUAGAAAUUGAUUCUUUCAGGGACGGAGGGAGUAUUUGAUAAUUAAAUUUGAUACUUAAGGACCGUCAACAGGGUGAAGCGGGCAAUGGCUGUUGUCUGCUCAAGCUUUUCUUACGAUAUGGAGCUGGUGUCCCACGGCUUCGUUACCAACAUCUCCAAGACCGACAUAGAGAACGAGGAGAGGCUCCACGCCUUGAUCGACGAUGCGGAGGACCCUGGGGAAAGGCUGGCGAAGUUGUUCGAGCCAGAAGUGCUUCCUCCCGAGACUAGCUCGGGCGCGGACGAUGGUGGUGAGGGCCGAGACACAGACUAAGGCCUGCGAGCCUAUUCUGGGUGCUAAGGCCCCUUGAUAAGUACUUUUAUCUUAAGAAAAAGCUAUGUCUUUAAGUGGUUUAUAAGAUUUGUGAAUAUCUAUUUAUUUUUGUGUUCGAAAUUCCUUUGCUUCCUCAUUCGGUCUUUUGUUAAGGCGACCUUGAUUGCCUCGAGGGUGAGGGAGUGAGUAGAGUUACCAUAGCCCGGGGGCGUAGGUGUUCUCAGGCUCGUCGUCUCUCAGCCCUUAAGGGGCUCGAGGUGUCUUUACUACUUGACAAUGUGAGGCAUACUUAUAGGAAAAAAUCACUCAGUUUUUGAGAAACUUGGGGGGGUCCCCCCUGCUAGCCCCCGAGGGAGUAUUGACUAUGAUGGGUCAUAGUCGGUACUCCCUUCUAACGUCAAGAUUUCGACCGGCAAAAAAGUAAGUUACUUAAGGGAAAGAUCUCAUUCAUUCAUGCAUUCCUUCAUAAGAUCAUGGUACAGAAUGUACAUGAGAACAUAAAGCUUUGAAACUCUAGGGGUAGAAUCGACGUAGCUAUUCGAUGUUCCAUGCGUUGGUGAAGACCGCCCCUUUUUCGUCCGUGAGCUUGUAUGUGCCUGGCUUCAGGACCUCGGCCACCAUGUAUGGGCCCUCCCAGGGCGGAGUCAGCUUGUGGCAUCCUUGGUUGCUUUGCCGCCACCGUAGGACAAGAUCGCCCACGUUCAGAUCCUUUUUGCGCACGUGCUUGUCGUGAUAGCGUCGAAGCUUCUGCUGGUACCUGGCGGAGUUGAGGAGGGCCAUGUCUCGAGCUUCCUCGAGCUGGUCGACCGUGUUCUAUUGAGUUUCCUCAUUUGUCUGCUCAUUGUAGGCCUUGAGUCGAGGUGACCCAUACUCGAGAUCUGUUGGAAGCACGGCCUCGGAGCCGUAGACCAUGAAGAAUGGAGUAUAUUUCGUGGCUCUGCUUGGCGUCGUCCUUAAGCUCCAUAGGACCGAAGAGAGCUCUUCGAUCCAUUUCUUACUAAAUUUCUUCAACCGAUUGUAGAUUCUUGGUUUGAGCCCCUGCAAUAUCAUGCUGUUGGCACGUUCGACCUGGCCGUUAGUUCGAGGGUGAGCCACUGCAGACCAGUUCACACGGAUGUGAUGCCGGUCACAGAAGUCCAAGAACUUUUUGCCGAUGAAUUGAGUGCCGUUGUCGGUGAUGAUGAUGUUGGGAAUCCCAAACCGGUGGAUGAUGUUGGUGAAGAAGAGGAUGACUUGCUCAGAGCAGAUGUUCGUGAUGGGUCGAGCCUCGAUCCACAUGGAGAAUUUGUCGACGGCUACCAGCAGAUGGGUGUAUCCUCCUACUGCUUUCUGUAGAGGCCCUACGAGGUCGAGGCCCCAUACCGCGAAUGGCCACGUAAUGGGGAUCAUCUGGAGAGCAUGAGCAGGAAGAUGUGUCUGCUUGGCAUAAAACUGACACCCAUGGCAUGAGCGUACGAGCUCGAUGGCGUCAGCUACGGCCGUUGGCCAGUAGAAACCUUGUCGGAAGGCGUUCCCCACGAGGGUCCGCGGAGCAGCGUGGUGGCCACAAGCCCCCGAGUGUAGAUCCUCGAGGAGCUUUCGACCUUCUUCUACGGUGAUGCAGCGCUGCAGGAUCUCGGUCGGGCUUCAUCGAUAUAGUUCGUUGCUUUCGCCGUAAAUUACGUAUGACUUGGCCCGUCGAGCGAUACGGCGGGCCUCAGAUCGAUCUUCUCAUAGCUCGCAUCGAAUCAGGCAAUCGAGGAACGGCGUGCGCCAGUCGAAUGGUCGACCGUUUCAUUGUUCCGCCUCCAUUACUUCUGCUGCUGCUAGUGGGGCUUCAAGGGUAUCGGUUUGUUGUAGGACGUCAGCCCCCGAGCCCAAGUCGACGGAUGUCUCACGCAGAUCUCUCGAAAAUGCGUCGGCCGGGGCCGUGCCUCGAGUUGAUGCGAUCUUUGGGAGCUCGUCGGCCGCCUUGUUAUAGCGUCGGGCGAUGUGGACGAGCUCGAGGUCGUGGAACUUGUCCUCGAUCCGACAUACCUCCUUGCAGUAUGCCUCCAUCUUUAGAUCGUGGUAGCUCAAGGCCUUCAUUACCUGAUCGAUGACGAGCUGAGAGUCGCCUCGAACGUCGAGGCGCUGAACCCCUAGCUCGAUGGCGAUCUUCAGCCCGUUGACAAGGUCCUCGUACUCUGCGACGUUGUUGGACGCGGCAAAAUGUAUUCUAAUGACAUACCUCAUAUGGACGCCGAGGGGCGAGACAAAUAGCAGACCCGCCCCAGCUCCUAUCUUCAUGAGAGACCCGUCGAAGUACAUCGUUCAUAGUUCUGCUUGAACUUGAGCCGGGGGGAGCUGGGAGUCCGUCCAUUCCAUGACAAAAUCCACCAAAGCUUGAGACUUGAUGGAUUUGCGGGGCGCAUAAGUGAGGGUCUCACUCAUGAGCUCGACCGACCAUUUGGCGAUUCUUCCCGUGGCUUCCCGACUUUGGAUGAUCUCGCCCAAGGGGAAUGAUGAGACCAUCGUGAUAGGGUGUCCGAGGAAAUAAUGUCGCAGUUUGUGUCGGGCGAGGAUCACCACGUAGAUGAGUUUCUAGAUCUGCAGAUAUCGUACCUUGGUCUCUGAGAGUACCUCGCUGAUGAAGUAGACCGGCCUCUGGACCGGCAGCGCAUGUCCUUCUUCCUGCCUUUUGACCACCACCGCCGCACUGACCACCUGGGUCGUCGAGGCGACGUACAGAAGCAGAGGUUCUGCAGGCUGAGGUGGGACCAGGACCGGGGCAGAGGUCAGUGUUUUCUUCAGGUUAUCGAGGGCUUCCUCAGCCUCGGGGGUCCAAGAGAAACGCUCGGCCUUUUUCAAGAGCCGAUAUAGUGGCAAUGCCUUUUCCCCUAACCUCGAGAUAAAACGACUUAGCGCCGCCAAACAUCCCGUGACUUUUUGCACUCCCUUGACGUCUCAGAUCAGCCCCAUUCUCGUAAUGGCCGAGACUUUCUCGGGAUUGGCCUCGAUGCCGCGUUGGGAAACUAUGUAACCCAAGAGCAUGCCUUGAGGUACACCGAAGACGCAUUUUUUGGGAUUGAGCUUGAUCUUGUUGGCGCGUAGGCAACCGAAAGCGAUCUCGAGGUCAUGAAUCUGGUCUCCUCAUUUCUUUGACUAGACGACGAUGUUGUCGACAUAUGCCUCGACCGUUGUCCCUAUAUGCUUGCCAAAUACGUGGAGCAUACAUCGCUGGUAUGUCGCCCCAGCAUUUUGAAGCCCGAACGACAUGGUCACGUAGCAGUACAUCCCAAAAGGCAUAAUGAAAGACGUCGCGAGCUGGUCGGAUUCUUUCAUUUUUAUUUGAUGGUAACCAGAGUAUGCAUCAAGGAAAGAAAGGAUCUCACAUCCCGCGGUAGAAUCAACAAUUUGAUCGAUACGUGGUAAUGGAAAAGGAACUUUCAGACAUGCUUUAUUUAAACUUGUAUAAUCGACACACAUCCUCAUUUUCCCAUUAUUUUUCUUAACUAGUACAGGGUUUGCUAACCAGUCGGGAUGGUGAACCUCCUUGAUGAAUCUGGCCGUCAAAAGCUUGUGGAUCUCCUCACCAAUGAUCUUGCAUUUCUCCUCGUCGAAGCGACACAACCGUUGUUUCACUGGCUUGGAACAGGCUUGAAUUUCCAAGGAGUGCUCGGCGACUUCCCUCGGUAUGCCUGGCAUGUCCGAGGGACUCCAUGCAAACAUGUCGGCGUUUGCACGGAGAAAGUCGACGAGCACGGCUUCCUAUUUGGGGUCUAGCUCGGUGCUGAUUGUCAGCACCUUGCCGUCGGAGUCAUCGGGGUUGAGCGGGAUCUUCUUCGUUCCUUCUGCCGGCUCGUAGCUGCCCGCGUGACGCUUGGGCUCUGGAGCCUCUACGGCUAAGGCCUCGAGCUUCUAGGUGAGCUCGGUGGAGUUCUCGAUAGCUUCUCCAUACUCAACGCACUCGACAUCGCACUCGUACGCGUGCUCGUAGGAGGAGCUGACGGUGAUGACCGCCUUGGGCCCAGGCAUCUUCAGCUUCAGGUAGGUGUAGUUGGGUAUAGCCAUGAAUUUGGCAUAGCCCGGGCGCCCGAUGAUGGCGUGGUGCGUGCCUCGGAAUCCUACCACUUCAAAGGUAAGAACCUCCUUCCUAAAAUUGGCCGUCGUGCCAAAACAGACUGGUAAGUCGAUUCGACCUAUUGGCAGCGCCUUCUUUCCUGGUACAACACCAUGGAAUCCGCCCGCGCUUGGUUGGAGUUGUGCCCUGUUGAUGCCGAGAAGGUCGAGGGUCUCGAGGUAGAUGAUGUUCAGGCUGCUGCCGCCGUCCAUCAACACCUUUGAGAGUCUAGUGUUGACGAUGAUGGGGUCGACGAUGAGUGGGUAGACUUCUGGGGCGACUACCAUGUUGGGAUGGUCGUCUCGGUUGAAGGUGAUGGGGAUGUUUGACCAGUUGAGGUACUGGGGCACCGCCAUCCUUGCCGCAAAGACCUCACGAUGCUCCCUCUUGCGCUGCCUUGCAGUUAGCUAUGUUGAGGGUCCGCCGUAGAUCAUGUAGAAGUCGUGGACGGCUGGGAAACCCUCGUCUUCUUUGUCAUCCCCCUUGUCGCCAUCCUUUUCUUUCUUCUAGUCGUCCUUCUUGAACCCCACGCCGUCGAAGUGUCUCUUCAGCAUGCGGCAGUCCUCGAGCUUGUGGUUCGCCCCUCCCUUAUGGUAAGGGCAGGGCUCCUUCAGCAUCUUGUCGAAGAUAGCUCCUUCAGGGGGCCUCGAUGUCGUUUACGAUCCAUGGCGGCAACGAGGUCGUCGUCGAGGGCCUCCUGUUGGAAUAGCCACGCUUUCUUCUUCUUCUUGUUCUUCUUGGGUCCUCGACUGGGGCCCUCAUCGUCGUCAGUUGGCAAUUUGCCUUUGCUUCUUUCGCAGCUGAAGAAAGCGCCGACUGCUUCCUCGCCUACAGCGUAGUUCGCCACUACGUCCAUCAGCUCGUCGACGGUCUGGGGGCGAUUCCGUCCACAUUCUCGCACCAAAUCUUGGCUGGUGGUGCCCGAGACAAAUGCCAGGAUGAUGUCGUGGUCUGGGAUGUGCGGCAGUUCGGUGCGCUGCUUUAAGAAGCGUCGAACAUAUUCUCGGAGAGAUUCUCCUGACUUCUGCUUGCACUUGCUGAGAUCCCACGAGUUGCCGGGCCGUAUGUAGGUCCCUUUGAAAUUGCCUUCGAACACUCUGACCAAAUCGGUCCAGUCGUGGAUCUGGUUGGCUGGGAGCUCCUCGAGCCAUCUGCGGGUGUUGACGGUCCUUAAGUACCAAAUAUAAUCAUCAAAUAAAUAAAGAAAAGGAUCCAAAUGCAACCAACACCUAGACUUAGGGUUUUAUCUGACAGAAUUCCACGAGUUUUGGUGUUUGUCUAUUUCUGCAGGGGGUUAUCAGGAAAUACGAAAGAAAGGCCCACAUGUCGGGAUUACAUAGAGAUAUCAACGCACCGCGCAAUUUUCUACCAUCUAGAAGACUCCAGAAGCCACGAGGAGAAAGCAGAGGCCGAAAGGGGCCAGGCCCAGGGUGCCCGCCCUCCUUCCAUGGGCGCCCGCCCUGUCCUGGACUCCGUUCGGGACUCUCUUCGCACACGAUGUUCCACCGACCUAAAGGAUCAAGGAUAACAUAGUACCACAUCGCCUACCGACGCAAAAACGCAUAGAGGAGGAGGACUAUAUAAGGAGACCCCCUGGCCCCUGGAGAAGACAAGAAGUUAUCAUAGAGAUUGAGGGGUGGCCUCGAAGGAAAACCUCUUCUCUAAAUAAUAUUUCUUUUUAGGCUUAGCAACCAAUGUAAGUAGAAAUAGAUCUUCUAGUUUCUACUUGAUUGAGAGAUAUAGAGUGGAGGUGUAGAUCGGAGGAAGGCCGGCCUGUCGGUGUCUACUCUGAGUUGUACCUGCGGGAUCAAGUCUCCUAACCCGAGGCUUGCUUCUAAGAUUCUUUAGUAAUUUGACUUCUGAUUCUAGUAAGUUCUUGUUUUAUUGUUCUUUGGUUUAUGAGUUUACUUUAAUCCUCUUCCGGUUGAGUAUUAGAGUAAUCAUUGCUAGCGUAAACGUGGUGUUUAGGCUAGGGUACUCAUAGAUAUCCCCUGACUAGCGGGACCGUGGUAGUAGCGAGGAACGUGACAUUUCCGAGUUACCUUUGUAUCCCAAAUCUUGUUAGCAGGACGGGUAGGGUUUAUAGGUGUGGGUCGAACAUCCUUUGUGGUGUCUAGAUUCCGUAAGCUUCCCCAAUAGAACAGUAGAUCAUCCUUACCAAGGUUAGAACGAGACUACGGUUGCAGUCUUCUCUAUACAUCGCUCACAUCGAGAAACAUUCUUUGUAGCCUAAAGGGAUAGUAGCAAUAGAUUUGGUUAGUCAGAUGCACCCUUUCUCCCAGUGGUAAAAAUAUAAAUACGAUACUCUGGAAAACCUCCCGGGUGAAAUGCUCACCGAUAGCCGUGCGCUUGUAGAUCAUUUCCUUAUUGCGUUACCAAAUAUCAACAAGCAUUUCUGGCGCCGUUGCCUGGGAGAAAGACGAUUUGCUGAGAUAACUUUAAGUCUUGCUUUUAUCUUGUAUUAUACUUUUAUACUUUUAUUCUUUUAUCUUUUUACUUUUAUCUUUAUGGAUAACUUAAAUUCUAUACCUAUUAUUGAAUUCUUUGCACCUUCGGAGACCAGCCAUAGACCAUGGGAGUCAACAAGUCCUGCCCCUAAUUAUGAUCUAUGCCCGGAGUUGAUUGCAAUAGGUCAAAACCAACCCUUCUCUAUAGCUGAGGUCCUAUCUUUUAAUCAAGAAGAUAAUGCACUUUUAGCUACACCUAGGGAAUCUGUUAAUCUUUCUAUAAAUUUUGGUUUAGACCUAGCCCUACAAGACCAUGUUUUUUCUCGAUAUGUUCACAUUGGUCUUAAUUAUAUAACCAUUGGUAGAGUUUUUCUUUCUUUAUCUGUUAGUAAAGCAAGGUAUGUCUUCACUCGUGGACAUCCUUCUUGUACUAGUCUUCAUAAAAAAUUCUUAGAGAUAGAGAAGGAAUCAUCUCCCAGGCAAGGAAAGGAAGUUUCAAUAGCCAAUUUCCAAACAUUCCAAUCCCAUGAUUCGGCUAUCCAUCCCAUCCUUGAGCUUAAUAGUUUCUACUAUGCUCUUUCUCUUGAACCUCCCGAUAAUCCUAUGAAUCUCUCUAGACAUCCCAUGCAUAAGAAGGAGGAUCGAGAAGAGCAACAUCAAUGGCUAGAGGGCAUUAAAAAUCUAUGUGCUAUCACCAUUGAAUGGAUAGAUAAAACAAACUUGAGAGACAGUCCUAGAGGAAUUUUAAGCAUUCGUGAAGAAUCAUCCUUGGAGUUUGAGAAUGAGAGAAACAACAGUGAGCAUGGAAGUUAUUUCAUAAAUACCUCAUCAAGUCCUUGCUCAUAUAAAACAUCUCCCUAAUCAAUUGGUCUCUCUAACCUUACCACAUUUGAGAUCUCCAACCCCCUCUUCUUUUCUAUUUAUAAAAACUUUAAAAGGGCGGUUGUCGAUGCAUAUGUCUAUAAUAAAUAUUGCAGAUCACGUUGAGUUGAUCUUGAUAUAGGUCAGCGUUGGAGGGGAAACCACUUCGCCGACAUAAUUUGAUGGUUUCCCAAGGAUAAGCUUAGCGUCCUUAAACCAGCACUUAUCAGAUCGUAACAUGAAUUUGCAACAUUGCCUCGUGUAUUGAGCAUAUUGAGAUAAUUGUAGAAAUAUUCCUUCGUGUAUUCUUGCCACUAACCUUUCCAGGAUUGGAGCAAGAAGAUCGGAUGAAUGACAAGCACAAGGUAUGUCCAACCAACCAUCAUACAACAUUGAAUUAAAUUCAUCCAAACUUGAAUUUCGCAAAAUUCAAGCUUGGGGGAGUACUUUACAUAAAAACAUCCUUUGCCAUGUUGCUAUGUUGGUUGUCCCUACCUUUGAGACAUGCUCAAUUUGUUAAGUACUAAUCACACUACUUCAUCUCCACUUGAGUAGAUCUCUAUAAAUGCUAUCAUGCUACCUUUGUUUAUCCUAGUAAGUGUUGGUUUGGAAGUACUCGACAUACUUCCAUUGGCAUUUAAAUUAAGCAUGGUGCUUAGGUUAAAUAGCCUUCCUUAAUUUGAUUAGACAUGGAGUCUAGUUUGGUUACUGAACUAAAAACUGCUUGAGUAGGCAUUGGUAUAGUUUGUCGGACUAACCCCUGCAGGAAAACUUUCAAUAUUAACCUGGGAAGUCCUGAGCUACAAGCUCAUUGGAGAUAAAGGAGACACAUGAAAUUUAACGACUUGCACAAGGAAGACAUAGCUAAUUCAUCAUAAAGAGAUGAUCCAUGGAGGGUGCCACAAACACGAUGCACAACCGCUAAGAAAGGAAAGCUUCCACAAGGUGAUACUAUACCAUCACUCUUCAAGUAAGGUAACACCUUAAGGUACUUGACUAUCACUUUUAUAAACUUCUCCUUGGUUCUGGCAUUCACACAAAAUAAAGAGACAAACAUGUAUGAUCUAUAACUCCAGAUUAACCAACUCAAUUAAUUCAACAUGUUUAGUCCUUUAAUCUUUGUUCUUAGUACUACCUUCGUGAUCCCACACUCCUAAUCAUAUAAGCUAAUAUGUUACACAUUCAAUCUCUAGAAAAUAUAAACAAAAUAUAAAUAUAGAUAGAUUAUCUUUCCAUUGGGUUGAGCCAUCUGAUCUGACAAAUGCUACACUCAUGAUCCAUCAACUUUGUCUUGCUCACUAUGCUUAAGAAUUAAGAACAAAUACACUUUUGGUUCUGUUGGUGUUUUCCACCAACAGAGCCCAUGCACUUGAUCUCUGCCUUGUUUCUAUGAGCAGGACACAUUUUGAGAAAUGUGAAGGAAUUUUAUAACUCCCAGACUCCACGAAGUGAAGGACCUGGAUCUACGAGCACAAACACACUGAGCAGGAUAUUGCCAACACCGCACUUCGAACUGCUGGGCAAUCAAAGAAUAUAGGUGACACCGUAUCAAGAAGUGCAGACGUCAAGGUCCACACCUAAUCAAAUGAUGCACCUAAAGGAUGAAGACAGUGAGAAGUCUUGUCCAAAAGAUUUAAAACUUUGGAUCCAUGUCGGAGGAGGUCAAGAUCGUCGACUCAAGUCACCUUUCUUGAUCAAGAAGGACGACCCUGGUGUUCCAAGCAUCGAGUGCACAAUCAAUGGAUACUCUUUUCAGAAGACACUCUACGACACCAGAUAUGACGACAACAUAAUGGCCGCAGUCACUUAUCAGCUCCUGCAUGGAACCAUGCUCCUACAACCAAGAUACAUUCAGCUCCAGACGAUUUUCAGGUCAUUGACAUGGGAGAAGACGAGUAUGAUCCACCUACCAUCCUUGGAAGACCGUUCCUCAACACUAUCAAAGCCAACAUCUACAUUGGAACCGGAGAAGUCCACAUGUACUUCCCCUCUGAGAAGGUACGCCACUACUUUAAUGAUUCUAACUAUAUAGUUGAAGAUUCUAAGCAGGUCAGGACAAGAAGAUGGCGACGCAACCGAAAUCACAGGAGGCAAAUCAUCAAGGACGGAUGGGCAGACUACGAAGGAGAAGUGGUAAGAACUGAAGACAUACAGCUUGAACAGAACUAUCCUGAGGAGAGCGUAGCACCGAAUCACGUGUGGAGGGAGAAGAUAGUUAUACACGAAGAGGAGGCGCCACCGGAAUCACCAACUACGCCAUCCAGCGAAUCCCAGGACAAGUGAGAAAACAGAGAGUCCCGUUCGGAGGACUUAAAAACAUCGAACGCCUUGCCAAGAGGUAAACUUGGUAGUUAUCCUUUUCUUUUCAAUUAUUCAAUUAUAGUUUGCUUAGUUAAUCAGGAUUCAUAUCAUCUCGAAAAGAAAAUAAACAUGUUAAAAAUAGUAAGCCCUAUGUGAGUAUGCUCAUGGCAUAAAACCCAUAGGUACAUUCACUGUGGUGACAUAAAAUAAAUAUGUUUUCAUCUUACAAUAAAAAUAUAAAAAUAAUAAGUACAUGAUCCUGCUAAAUAAAUAACAUUUAUUGAGGAGGCUCAACAUGAUAAAGGCUAGAUAUUUAUGCUAACACUUAACCAGUUUCACAAAGCUUUGUUGUCUAUUUGAGCUCCACAGAAUUCAAGGAUCAAAGAAGACUAGCAGACAGAGGACAUCCUAAUCACUGUCAGGGUGCUGCCGACAUUCAAAUACACCUCCGUCACCUGCUAGCUACAUCAGAAGAAAUUACGUCAAAAUCCAGCUUGGGGGAGAGCACCCCCAUUUAUCGAGCUAAGUGUUUCUACUCGCAUUUAUACUUUACUCAAAUAAUAAAAAGAUGCAUAAUCAUAAAAACCCAAAUAAAGAUUUUGUGCUUUUAUAUAUAUAUCUUUGCUUAGUUUGCUAAAUAAAUAAAUAAAUAAAGUUUGCUAUGAACCCUCAUGAUGAGCUCUCACAUGGAAAUGAUGAAUAGUUGCUCUGCCAUGACUAGUUCUCAAAAUUGAAAUCUCUCUCAAGUUUAGGCAUGACUGUUAUGAAUUAAGAUUUGCUCUAAACCUGAACUUGUGGGAAGAGUACUUGAUCUAAAGUCUAAGUCGUUAACGGAUAUGAUAUGGGAAGGUUGAGCUGCUGUUUAUCUGUUCCUAGAGAUGCUAGAAUUCUGUAGAAUUUUAUCUUUGAAAAUCUUUAAAAUAACACAUGAUGAGUUCCUGUAUGAUGAGAGUUUAAAUUCCUACCACAGCCAUAUAUACAUGCUUGCUAGACUUUGAGCCACACAUUUACUUUUACUCCUUAUGAGCAUUGAGUGUGGUCAAGCUGUGUAGACCCUUAGGAGCUUGUCAUGUGGUUAAAUCAAGAUUCACUUGCACGUUCACUCACACCUGCUGCUUCUACUCCGGAAGUACGCAUCCACAUACAUCCACUCAUUUCCAUCUCCAGAUUCACCCAAAAUUAUUCUACUCCUAAUCCGGGAGAGAAUAGCCAAAAACAUUUUCCUAUCCCUGUUAUUCCCUGUGAAAUAAAUGCUCUAGUUAUUUUGGUUACUACCACUUGCUACAUUCUUUUAGGAGAUGAGUGCUCUAAAAAAAAGAGAAAAAAAGAGAAAAAAAAUAUAAUACGAGGAAAUAAAAAGGGGCAAGUGCCCGGAACCUCGAAGAAAAGAAAAAAGUGAGACGAGAGGUAAAAAUAGACAAGUGUCCGACAGUAGAAUUAGGGGUACAAGAUACCCACCUGAGAGGAAAGAAAAAGAAAAUAUAGAGCAUCUCAUUCUCCUCAAAAAGCUUCAAAGUGCAAGAAAGGUAUGUAUCCCCUUAAAAGAGCAAAAGUAGAAUUAGAUUUUCACCAUUGUUAUCACCAUCAUCACCAUACACCAUUCACUCGCCACACAUGCACAUCUUGAUUUGACUUAUUGACUUGUUUCUCUGGAUCCAUGGUUUGACUAUGCAAUAAAUGUCUUGUAAGUAUGUAUUAGCUGUCUCCCACCUAUGAGCUCUAGAAAUCAAAACCUUAUUAGAGUAGGGUGAGAGAGAAGGCAAUAUCACUAUGCAUUAUACCAAAAAUACCACAUACUUUGAGAGAAGGCAUAUACCAUUACUGCCUUGGUAAGGAUCCAGAAAUACCACAAAAGAGAGAUUUGAGAGAAUCAUAUAAGGAAUCUCUGAGUUUUAUUUGAAAAUCUACAAAAACUCCAGAGCUAUAGCUGAUCAAGAAUAAGAAACAUGGCGCUUGACUUGACCGUUCUAUCUUUUAACUGCUCAAGACACAAGUGAAGGUUACAAGCCCCAUGGUGAAAGGUAAAAUGAGUAAGUUUUAAGUCUUAACAGUUUAUUCUAACUCAGAGAUGAGAUCUUGCUUGAAUGGGUGUGUAUUUUUAAGGCAUGAAACCACUGCAGAAACUCUUGAGUUUAUCCUUGCUCAGGGACGAGCAAAAGGUAAGCUUGGGGGAGUUGUUGACGGUCCUUAAGUACCAAAUAUAAUCAUCAAAUAAAUAAAGAAAAGGAUCCAAAUGCAACCAACACCUAGACUUAGGGUUUUAUCUGACAGAAUUCCACGAGGUUUGGUGUUUGUCUAUUUCUGCAGGGGGUUAUCAGGAAAUACGAAAGAAAGGCCCACAUGUCGGGAUUACAUAGAGAUAUCAACGCACCACGCAAUUUUCUACCUGUUGGUGCAAAAGCUAAUCUGCAAACACAAAAGGCUAAUACCCGAUUUAAACGUUAAGGCGUGCCAGCCGAUUUGACCUUACUAUCGGCAAAGGUGGUAACUCGAAUACUUUGGUCCUGACAACAGCGAUGCGCCCGGAUGCCAC
rnacentral:lncRNA from 1 species